rnacentral:lncRNA from 1 species
AAAUAUAGAAUCCAUCCACUCAGACUUUCACCUCUCGUUGUGGUGGCGGUCCACUUACCUUGGAUAUUAUUUAAUUAAAAGAAUACAAAAGGAGAUCUAACCUUACGACGUCUAGUUAUAAUUGCGGAGAGGCUUCAGGAAAGCAAUAAGCUCAAAUUUAAAGAUACUUAAGAUGGACAAAAGAAACUAUCAUUUAUAUAAGAUAACCGGAGGUUUUAGAGUUCGAUUGCACAAUAUAAUGUACAUUCAAUUUUCAGAAGACUGAGCAACAUCUCCAUGAACCAUAACAAAGUGAAUGAUUAGGGAGGAUUAAAAGAUUGUUCAACUGUUGUAAGUUGCUUCCUUUUUUCUUUUUUCUUUUUUUACUUUUCACGUGGGACUUUGUUCACACACAUACGUAAUGUCCCCCUUGAACUAAGUUCCACAUAACCCAUUAUCAUUCAUGGGUGAAUUGACAAAUUGCAAUCAAUUGAUGCAAAGACGAGUGAGAUAGAGCUAGACUAGUUGCAUUUAAUUUGUGGAAGACAUAAAGAGAUGAACAAAAGUAGUAUAUAUCUUUUCACUGUUUCAGCCGUUCUCAACAUUAUUCUUUUUUUUUUUUAACUCGCACGUCUAAAAUAUGAAAGUAGAGAAAAUAAAAGAUUAGAAUGAAGAUAUUUGGAAUAAGGUGGGAGUGUACUCAGGAGGCAAGGUUGAGAUGACUCGGGCAUGUGAAGAGAAAAUGCAAAGAUGCCUCGAUGAGGAGGUGAGACUCUGGCUAUGGUGGAUAUGAGAAGAGGUUAAGGUAGGCCAAAGAAGUAUUAGUAUGGGGAGAGGUGAAUAGAUUAGACAUGGCACACAUAUGUAGCUUACUGAAGACAUGCCCCUAGAUGGGAGGAUUUGAAAGCCGAGGAUUAGGGUAGAAUUAAAGUUAAUAUGCAUAGUCGAGUGUUGUCUAGUUUUUUGUAUCAUUAUUGUUACUAUUAUUCUAAUUAUACUGUCUUAUUCUUUGAUUUUAUUACUUUUAGUUGUUUUAUUUGCCUCGAUUAUCGUAUUAUUUGAUUGUUGAUUGUUCUCGUCUACAUUAAUGUCAGCAUAGUUUGUUUCACUAUUGUAUUUCCUUUCAAUACUUGAUUUUAAUAUGCUUUAUAUGAGCCGAGAGUCUAUCGAGAUCAAUUUCUCUACCUUCAUAAGGUAGGGAUAAGGCUCCUCAGACCCCACUUAUGGAAUACACCGGAUAUGUUGUUGUUGUAAGUACUCUUCAAACUCUACUGACAAUUUGUACAGAUAUAUCUUGUCACUGCUAUAAUCAGUUAUAUUGUAUUGAUAGUAUAAAAUUUCGUUAUUGUUUGGGACGGAUGGAGUAAUGAACAUUCAAUGUUGAAUUGUUUAAUGUUUUUUCUUUAAUUUCAUCUUUUUGUUUUUCUGGAUAUUUCUUACUUUAUGCUUACCAAAUUUAUUGCAGAUAUAUAGGGUGGUCACAUGAAUUGGAUGUAUCUUAAGUAGAUAUAUAGAAGAUGAUGCUGCCUGCCACGAGACAAAUAUGUACCUCAAUAUACUAGCUAUCUAGCUAGUUAAGUUUUCUUAUUAAGUUAUUAUUAUUAUAUUAUAUAUAUACAUACUGAAGUCUUAGUCUAUAAUAAUUUAGUUAGAUAAUCAGUUUCUUUCAAUCAAAUAACUAUCUUUUGGAAAUUUGUUAAAGGGAUUUCUCCUCUGCUGUAAAUUAAAUUACUUCUCAGCUAUUUUUAUAAACAUACUUUGCAUCAAUUUCAGCAGGAGUCAUAUAUAAUAGUUGUAGUAUUUCAGUUUUUUCUCAGCACUUGGUUCUUUCUUUCUUUCUUUUCUUAUAUAUAAUAGGAGUAUAAUUCUUUUGUGUAUCUGUAGUAUGUACAUAUUGAGCCAGGGCGGAGCCACCGUUCGAGUUACAACUUCAGUAGAACUCAAAAACAUUAGCUCAAACCCUGUAUUUAUAUGUAAAUAAUCUAUUCAGAAUCGAACAAGUAAAAGCAAAUUGUGAUUCAAAAUUCAUAAACUAAAAGUUUUAACUCUGCAUGUGUAUUUUGUGGAGCAUGACUUAUAACAAAUGGACAAGAAAGAUAUGCAUUUUUUUGGGGGGGACUUCUCUUUUCUAAAUUAACAGAUUCUGGUACAUUAAGUGCAUUUAUUAUUUAUUAUAUUUUGACAAAAGUUACAUUAUUAUUACUGAAAUUUAAAAAAUAUAACAUGCUUGCUUGAUAUAAAUAUAAAUCAGUAAUAACUUCAUCUACUUUGAGAUCUUGAUGUAGCCAACAUGGGAGGAAUUUUCCACUUUAACCAAAGCCCCUAGCUCAGGUACAACCAAGCACUUUGAUGACUCUUGUUUGUAGAAAAUGCCCACACAUUUGCAAUCUUUGUUGCACCUAUUUUUGCAUUCACUUAUUUUCAUAGGCCCAACUCCUUCAUUAUAAUCACUAGUAAAAUGUUCAACUCCUUCCACCUUAUAAUAGUCCACAUUUGAUCCUCCCCUACAUACUGGCAACUUUGGUGGUGCACAUCCCUUACUCCACCCAAUCAAGCCUCGAGGGCUCGGACACGCCACACACUGGCUAUCCUCGCAAACGCCUAAUGAUCCACACCUCCUCGGUAGCUUGCAUUCACUUUUUCCAUCGUUGUCCCUAUCGAGAAGUCGAUAUGUGACUUCCCAUGCUCCCCAAUCAACAUUUGGUUCAUAAGUGUACAUUCUUAAAUUACCAUCCAUAUCAACUCUAAACAUAGUGUAUGUACUAUUGUAUUUGGGCCUAGUAAAUAUAGAAGUACCAGAGCUAGGAGAAUUGGUCAUGUUAAUCCUAAAUCCUAGCUCAAAAGCAUAAUUUUCACCAUAUUCUGGCUCACAAUAGAAAUCAAAAUUGGCUAAAGAGCCUUUCCCAUUACCAAAAUCAUCUGAUUUGAAAUAUGGUAAAGGCUUUUGUGAAUUUACACUUAUAUAAUACAUGGCCCAAUGUCUCCCUUCUAGGACAAAACUAUAAGGCCCAUCAACAGGUUCUUUACUGGACUUUCUACUAACAAGCUUAGAUGGGCCUUUAGCCCUUAAACUUUGGCCCACCAAAAGUGUAUCCGUUGGGUGAUCAAAACUUUGCCAAACAAAUCUAUCAUUUUUGUCAUGUAAAACCAAGUUGCCAUUAGGCAAAAGUUUUAGCCCUGUUACACCUUUGUUGGCAGUAUUGGUAUGCCAAGCUACCGUGCCAUCGACAUCAGUUAGUACCAAAUUCCCAUUAGUACCAAACGUUAGAGUGGCGUUUUCGCGGACAGGCUUACCACGAUUAGCCUCCCAGACCCAUCGCAUAAUGGACUCAGAUCUACGAUGACCCAUUCGUAGCCCAAGUAUGAAGGUGUUUGGAGUAGAAUUAAAGAAACAAAGGGUGAAAGGGAAGUUGACAAUGUCCAACACACGAUAAUCUGCAAAAUAUUCAACGGAGUAUUCGCCAAAUGAGCCUUCAUUUAUGUACUUGAAGGUUUUGGAAGGAGGAACAUUGGCUAAUGUUACUAUGAAUAAGGAACAAAGUGUUAUUACAAGCAAAGAAGACAUUGUUUUUGGUUUUGUGAAUGAACAAUUUUUGAGUUACUAUAUUUAUACUAAUAAAAAAUUGUUUAAUGCUAUAUCUUAUCCAGUGGAUCAAUAUAUCCCUGUAUUUGACAAAGGCAAUUGUUGACUUUGACAAAUUCAUCAUUGAUCAAACUUAAACAACACACUUUUGAAUCCACUAAUUAAUUAAUUUCUUUUCACAAAUUAAUGGUUUUAGACCUUUUGGUUCUGGUCAAUGAAACCAUGAACCAGUUAUAUAUAACUUUUUAUUUUAAAAAGAAAUCCUUAUUGGAAGAACAUUAAUGGCUAAAGUUGGAUCUAGCUAUAGAAGCAUCCACGCAUGGUUGACAUUUAAAUUAUACUAUAUACUAGUGAUGGCUAGCUAUGUGCUUACGUACGUUAUAUAGUACUGGUACUUAUUAAUUAGUUGGAUGACAUUAAUGUUCAAUUUAAUGGAGUUCAUCGUACGUUUUCUUAGGAAAAUAUGUCGAAUCAAGUUGUUGAACUUUUAAUUGCUCUACAAUACAAACAUUCAGAUUUUCUCAAUCCUUUAAUAGUGAUAUAUGUACACGGCAAAGUUCAUGCAGUUUGGUUUAUUUUGAAAGCGAAAUCAAUAUUAAAAAAUUUAGAUAUGUGAAAACUAUAUGAAAAAUACUAUGAAUUGUAGUGAUAUGAUGAAAAAACACAUUUUAAAAUGUUGGUGUAAAGGAACGUACAGAGGGAAUAAUUUGUAGAGAUGGAAUUAUCAAAAACAUAGGGAACCCUACAAGUAUUUGGAUGUACAUAUAAAGUUGGCCUGUAAUUCUGUGUGGUACACUUUUUGUGCCAUCAAAUAUUAGCUGUGAAAGUUUUUCAGUGAAAUUUAGUGUAUGUCAUUUGGUUGGUCAAGGGAUACUGUUGCAUGUACGUAGAUCAGACAACUUUGAUGAGAUCGAGUGGUCCUUUAGAGUGCUGCACAUUUUGUUUGAACAAGUAAUUUGAAUUUCUUAAAUUACGUUUUUAAUUUUCUCAUAAAUAUAAAAACUCCAUACUAUGUGAAAACUAUCAAUUGUAGUAUAUAUAGCUGCUAAUAUAUCUGCACAUAUUUAUACAAACAUGGAAACAUUGAAUAUGUAGGUAUAAAUUAUAUACAUAUUAGUAACUACCACACAAGAAAUGGGAGUCAUAAUGUAUGAGUUAUGACACUUUUUUUUUGGAGAAAUUAUUUAUAUCGAUCUACCACGUACGUCUUUAAUUUCUACACUUUCGUGUAAAAGGAAGCCAUCAUUGAGUAUGCUUUUCUUAAUUAUUAAUUAUAUGUAUAUAGGUCUACGUAUUGUAAAAGGUUCAUGAUAAUCAUAUUGUUUAAAGCAAUUAAUGUUCUUCUGUCGCACUUUGGAAGAAAAUAUAGUUUUUAAUGGCUGGAGUCUAGAGUGGCCUUAAUCUUUUGCACUAGCAUAUACAAAAAUAUACACAGUGUGAUCUGUCGAAGCCAAAUUUAUUUUUCAUAAGGUUAGUUGAGUCACGUACAACGUGAUGUCCAAUAAAACACAAGGAAGUUUACAAAAAAAAAAAAUUCACUUUUUUUCGAAAUUGAACUCUAGUCUAAACAUGUUUGGCCAUGAAGUACAAAAUUCAACUUAUUUCUAAGAAUUUGAAAACAAUAAAAAAGUAUGGCCAUAAAUUUUUCACUUUAAAAUAAAAAUUAUCUUUUUCAAAUUUCACAAUGAAACAUUGUCAAAGACCCGCUUAAUUUAGCUAUUCAUCCGUAAAGAAAAACAGGGAAAUUUAUAUAAAAUUACGUUACCAAGAUAUCUUCUUCUUCUUCUUUAAAAAAAGAAGAAGGUACAAUUUCAGUAAAAUAAAUCAAGGUGCCUAUUGGGGUCUUUUCAGGGAAUGGAGUGUGGGAGAGAAGAAGACAAUUUCAAUAAGUAAGAUAAAUCAACAGGGUCUAUUUAACUUGUGCCCUUCACCACUGUGUUGGGAUACUAAUUUAUUAGAAAACCCUACAACAACAAAAAAUUCUCCAAAAUAGUGUCUCCUAUGACGAAAAAAUUAAGUAUAAAGUACAGAAACCUAAUUUGGAUUAAUUACAUUCUAUUUCGAAAGUUUUUUAAAUUACAAUAAUAUCGAAUUUUUCAAAAUUCGUGGAUACAUUGCUCCUUCACCCGAUACACAACAAACGAUAUAUAAGUUAUGUAUCAGAUACAUAAUUAUAAACCAAAUUCAUACUGAUUUAGAUUUGAAAUAAUUGAAGUUUUUUUUUAUCAACAAUAACAUUUGUACCAUACAUUAUACACAAAGAAAAUUGUAAUGUAUCUGGUGGAGGUGGAAUGAUGUAUCAGGAUGUUAAGAGAGAGAAGGAAAAAGGGGAAUUUUUGUAAUUAAUUUUAAUAAUAUGAAUUUUUAGAGAUUAUGCUAUCUUAAAUCGUUUAAUUACGUAAUUUUCCCAAAAAAUAAUUAUGAAAUCUUUUUGGAAAAUCUUUCUUUUUAACAUUUUUUUCCCUUCUGAAUUGUAUUCCCUGAGUACUUCAGUUUGUAAUAAUUUAGAAACACAAUCAGUACUUGCUUGGUUGUAAAUGAAAGCGACGAGUCAUAUAGGAGCUAAAGACAAUACCAGAAACGCUUACACAAAUAAAGAUGAGCAAAUACAAAGCUAUUUUUUUCGGUAAUAAAUACAAAGCUAUUUAUUACUACUAUCAAAGAAAAACGACCAAACAUCCAAAUAAAACUAUUGAUACUUAUUUGGUAGGAAGGAUAAGGGAUAACUAAUUUUAAUUUUAGGAUAAGUCCAUUUUAUAUUCGAUUGAAAUAAAAUUAUGGAAUACUUUAUUUUGAAAUUAGUUAUUUUGGAAUUAUAAUGUUAUUUUUAUCCACAUUAAAAACAAAAUAAUAAUCCUUAAAUAAAUCUUGAAAUAACUUAAUCACCAAUCAAACGAGCCCUGACAAUUACAUACUACUACCUAAUUCAUGGCUAGUUAGGGCUUAGGCAGCCAAAUUCAUUUGUUAGGUUGUUGCUUGCAUCCUAAACUAUUAAUGUCGGUCCGUCCUUGAGAAAUGACAAAAAAAAACUCAUACUAGAGACUUUUCUUUAAUUUUUAAUCAAUGUAGAAAAAAAUGAUACUUACUUUUAUUAUAAUUUAACUUUAAAUUAUUUUUAUUUUUUAUGAAAGAAUUUAUAAUCACACAAAUAUUAUAAUUUAUUAUUAUUUCUUACCACAAAUUUCAAACACAUUUCUUUCAUUCUUAGGUUAAUUUCAUAAUAUUCAGUAAAACAUCUCCACGAUAUAAAGGAGCAAUAUUUUCUUAUCUAGCUGUAUCAAAACUAAAUUAAGUAGGCGUUUGGCCAUGCGAUACCAUAUCACGAUAUGGUAUCGUGAGAUGGAAUCAGCGUUUGGACAUGCGAUUUUACACUGAUUCCAUCUCAUGAUUCCAUAUCAUGAGAGGUGAUACCCUAUUCUCCAAAAAUCAUGAUAUGGAAUCACCAUGAUUUGAGAUAUUUUAAUACAAUAAUUGAUCCAUGAGUUUAUAUUUUGUUAAAACAACCCCACAUUUAUAUCUACUAACCAUUUGUUUCAUAUGUAAAUAACAUUUAUAAUCACAUCAUUACUUUUUAAAAUUUAUUAUUCUCACCAAUAUAAAAUUUAUUAUUACUUUAAAUUUGGUGAAUAUAAAUGAUAAAGUAGAAAUUCAUUUGAUGAAUAUAAAUAAGAACGAAGGGAGUAAUACUUUUUUGAUUUUUCAUAAUAAAAAAAAAAAGUCUUAAUCUUAUGACUAAUUAGCAUAAUAUUGACAAAAGACAAUUUUCAUUGGCGGUGCCGCGCUUUCUUAAUCUUAGUAUUCGCAAAAUGUUCGUUCACAUGACUGAAGAAUAUCAAGUCCAAUUGAUUGAGGACUUGGGAAAAUUUGAUCAAUUAGUUAUUAAUAUUUAGUCAAGUGGACUAGUUAUAAUUUUUUUGAUUAAAUUUUAUUAGAAGUGUUUUUGAUUCAAACUUGUGGUAACUUUUUAAAAUUUCGUUAUUCAAUAAUAUUUAACUAUUGAUUUUUCUUGUAAUUAAUAGUUAGAAGUCAGUGAUGUUUGUUAAUUUUUAUCUUAGUGUAUUUAACUUCUAAGUUAAUAUUUACUCACUAAUGUAUGUUUUUUUCUACUUUAUAGGUUAUUUGUAAGAGUAGUUGAGAGAUAUGAGCAUAUCAAGUACAAUUUAUGUUCAAUUUUUUAAUUAAAUUAAAGUUAGAUGAAACAAUUACUUAAGUGAAGAACAAAUAACUUUGUAAUAAUUUAUUAUGCGAUUUUAUAAUUUUUGUUUAUUUGAUAAGAUUGAAUAAACAAUUGGGGCUAUUUUAAUAGUUUUACAACUUAUGGGAUUUUUAUGUUUAUGAGAAAAUAUACAACACAAAAAUUCCAUAUCGCAUGUCUAAACAAACCUUCAAUUUCAUCUCAUGAUUCCAUAUCAUGAUACCAUAUCGCAUGGCCAAACGGGCCCUAAGUAAGUACAUCUCAUAUCCUCAAGCUCCUUUGAAUUUUUGCCCUUCUCUUCAUUUUAAAUAAAGUUUGAUUAUACAUUUGGUUGGUUUUUGAAAAGUUUCUUGAAGAUGAGUUUAAGUUUUAAAAAGUGUUCUUGACAUUUAUCAGGCAAUUUUUUUUCACACUAGAUUUUUUUUAAUUUUCUUUCAAGUUAAAUACGACAUAUUUAAAUAUGACUUCAACUUUGAAAUAUUUUUUUCAACUUUUUGUUAAAUACUAUUUUGGUUCAAACAUCAAAUUUUUAUGUUCAAAGAUAGAUAAAACUUCAAUAUGCUAACAUAUCAUCAACCAAAUAUAACAUAAAUUGUUUUUUAGAUUUAAUUCUAAAUUUUCUACUAAACUUAAAAUUAUCUGAUUGAUAACCUCUCAAAUGAAUAAAUUAGUCUAAAAUUAAAAACACAAGAUGAUUUAGACCACGCAUCAAACAGCUAAAUAAAUGUUCGACUAAUGAAGAUAAGAAGUCACAAGAUUAUUAGAGUAGAUUAUAAACUUUGCUUCAUAUGUUCUAUUAAUAGUAGGCUGCUCUCUAGGCUCUAGAUUUAACCAAUUCCAAUUGAUGGUAUAUAAAGAAAAAUUUGAGGUACUAUGAAAUUUGUAUUAAUUCCCUGUUUUUAUUUAUAUAUCACUAUUUUUUAUUUCACGUGCAUUAAGAAACUAAGGAAGUUUACUAUAUUUGGCUCUUAUUUAAUUUUUUUUGAAGUCAAUUUUUCAAUCAAUAAAUAUCUUGAAUCCAUUCUUACUGGUCUCAUAUUUGCUGCUAGAGACAAUAGGGGGCUAAAAGAUCUACUACUUUAAUUCCUGUUUCAAAAAUAGAUAAUUUUGUAUCCAACUGUAUAAAGGAUUCCCCCGGGGAGCUACUUGAAUAGCAGGCGGCAUAUGUCCUGAUUCUGAUUCUGAUUGAUCCACCGAUGUGCCCGUUUCCGUAGAUUUUUCCCAUGAUUCCAAGAGGACAUCAAUCCCAAAAUGAUCCUCUUCAAACUCAGUCCCGCUUGCUUGCCCGGAAAUGUUAUGAAAGGCGGGUGUUCCUAGUGGGCUCGUUGCCACUAGGCAUUCAUCUUUGAUCCUGAUCGGCCGACCUUUUCGAUCCCGACGCUCCUACCCACUCCGGGGUACCAUAGCAUGUCGGGAAUAAGGGGGGGCAUAGUGGACGUAACCACUCCCUUGUUUUACUUUGAUUAAUUGAUUUGACCAAUGAACAUGAUUUAUUUACUUCGUUUUUCUAUGUUGGUCAAAUGUAUAUUUUCAAGGUUAAUAACUCACAAGGGUAAAAUAAAAAGAAUAUUAUAAUUUAUCCAUUUAUUUUAUAAAAUGACAAGUACUAUGGAUCAAUUAUUUAUAGUAAAAAUGACAUAUAAAAAGAAACGGAUGUAGUAUUGUACUAACAUCGGAAAUGAAAGUAAUGAUAAUAGAUGUAUGGUUCCUUUCAUUAUAUUUUUCUCGGAUCUCAGACAGCUAUUAUCUUUCUGAAAUUAUGUAUAUAGUGGAGUAUUAUUAUUAUUAUUAUUAUUAUUAUUGGUAGAGUUACUUUAAAUGUUUAGUUAAUUAAUAAAAUAAGUGUCUGAAACCUUAUCUUUUAACCUAUAAAUAACUUUAAAGAAAUUGAAUAGCAUGUGCUACUACUCUUUAAUUUAUAUUUAGUUUGGAUUAUUUUAUCCCAUAUUUUUCUUCCUUUACUUUUUUGAUAAUAGUAGGGGCCAAUUUUGACCUCAGUAUUAAUUACCAUAUAAUAGCAGUAAUAAAUAAGUAUAGAAGCUUGAAAAUCUUCGGUAAAAAGAAAUUGUUUUUAACGUUUUGAGUUUAAGUUCAACUUCAAGUUCAAGAAUAUAGUGUAGAUUGUAGUAAUUAAUGAACUGAGUUAAGAUAAAAAUAUCAGAUAAUUUUCUUAAUUUCUGUCUAGAUCUUUGUAAACAGAACAGUCUAAUAUAAUACUAGUAAAAAUAAUAGAUAUUUUGUAAAAUUAAUCCGUUUUUUUUUAACGUCAAACAUAUAUAUAUCUGAAGAAGAAAACUAGAAAGUGUUGGGUCAGCAAUCUUUUCGUAGGCUUUGGAAUAUUUUGGGGCCCUUGACCUUUAUGUAAAUGGCCUGACAAUAAUUAUUACUGUACUGCUAUUACUACAAUUUAUUUAAAUUUUUUGGACAGAUAAGAUAUUUAUUUAUUUGCAGGAAUUAGUUGAAGUUUGCGCCAACUAAGAUUCCGAAAGUUAAACGACAUCCAAUGAAUCAUAUAUUAGUUGAAUGAAUAUAUAGAUUUAUUGAUUAUUAGUUGAAGUCAACUACGUCUAUACUGACAUGAAGAUGCUCUCUGUUUCUAUUUUUAACCCUUUUUUUUAGUCAAGGAAAUUGUGUUGUUAGAUCUACUUAUGGCUAUAUGUAUUUAGUAGUUAAUCUUGGAAAAAUUUAAUUUGUUUUUGGGGGGUGGGGGGGUUAAAUAGUUUUUUCGUUUCAACGUGUUUAUUUGAUUUUUAUUUUUAGUCUGCUUAAAAAGGAAUGGUAUUUUCUUUCUCAUUUGAUAACUAUUUAAUUUCAACUUUUCACGAGAUAUAUUUAAGACCACAAGAUUAUAAAAUAUUUUUAUAAAUUUAUUAUUCAACAUAUUUUUAAUAUAAAAUUGUAAGAUUCAAAAAAGAAGUAAUCUUUUUUUUUCAUGUAAAAUUAAAGUCAGACAACUAAACUAUGAAUGAGGAUAUUUUAUUCCUUUGGAGUUUUGAGACAAAAUAAAGAGCACAAGAUCUAACAAGAAUCCACAUGAUUGACUGUAAUUCUUGUUUCUUUCUUUGAUGAGAAAGUUGAAGACUGUGAUUUAAUUGUCUGUUUGGAUAACUUUUUCGAAAAGUUUUUGACAUAAUGAUUUCUAAAUAAGUAUUUCGAUGAUUGUUGUAAUUUUAUGUAAUUUUGUUAUGAGAAGUUUCAUGGAAAAGGAUUUUAAAAAAAAUACUUCUAGCAUUAUUGGAGUGAAAUUGCUUUUAAAGUACUAUUAAUUUUCGAAUUAAAAAUUUAUUUUUAGUCCACGUAUAAGAUUUCAAUUACCCUAUAUCGAUUAGUAGUAUUUAUUUUUGUUAAAUUUAUUGUAGCUGACUCUAAAAGAGAAAUAAAAGCCAAAUAUUAUCUAAAAGUGUUUUUGAAGAAGCAGAAUAUUAUUGUCUAUUAAAUAUAUGCCUCGCCUGUAUUUAUCUUAUUUUUGAGCAAACAUAGGAAAAGCCGAUCAUAUAUAACACUUUUGUCGUUAAAUGUCUUAAUCUUAAGGAAGAAGCUCCUAAUGUUAUGCUGUAAUGUUAUUCCUUUUCUUGAGCUAGUAUAGGAGAAUAAUAUAUUUUCCAUCAUCCCUUUUUCCGUUCUUAUCACAUGAUUUAAUUAUCAUAUAAUUGUAUAUUUGAGAAAAUCAAAAUAUAGUUAAAUCUUUAAUUAUGAAGGUUAUGUCAUCGUCCUAUAGUUAUAUCAAAUCAAUUGAUGCAUGACAUAUUAGAAGAUUCUCAACUCAAGUUAGCUAAAAAAUUUAUCAACAAAUGAAAGAUUUAGAUAAUUAACAAAUGAGCUUUUAAUGUGUAUUAAUAUAAUGUAAACAUCGUUAGACUUUAUUAUAAAGAUUGCAAAUAAGUAUUUAUCAUUCCACUUUUGAGUCCUACUAUUAUAACAGACAGGUUAGGAACAAAUAUCGUUGAAACAAUACGACUAGUUUAAAUAAUAAAUGUAAUAUAUGACACUUAUCCUAAUUUGUAAUUACUAAUUACUGUUUUGGGGAGUAAUGUUAUACAAUUAUCACUUGUUAUCAAAGAAAGAGAGUUGUGGAGGGUACGUAUACUUCCUUCCUUUUUAUUAGUGUGGUAUAUUAAAAAUAAAAUAUUUCUUUUUCUACUUAACAAUUUAUUCUUAUCAUAAGUAAUUAUUUUUACAAUUAAUUGAUGUACUAAUACAGGCCAAUUUAUUUUUUCGAAGCCUAAUUAGUUAAUAGAUUGAACAAUUUAGUUAUACUUUAGCUGUAAUAACAUACUCUAGAUAACAACUUAAAAAUAAAGAAAAACAAACAAUAUUUGAGAAUAUGAUUAUCAAUGCAAAAUAAUCACGAAUGACAAAUUUGUGAUAUAUAUUAAAGAGAUUACUUCACACAAUAUGUGAGUGUUUGACGUUUAUUGUCCUUCAAGAAAAUAGAGAAUCAGUUUUUUUUUUUCUUUUCUAUUAUUAGCACUUAGAAAAACAAAAGUACUCUAUAUUUCUUAUUCAAUAUAUAAUGGCGCCGUGCCGUGACCUACCAUACACGGCGGAAUAAACAAACGCUCAUGGGAACCCCCACUAUUCAAAUAAAAAAUACAUGAAGGGCAACAUUGUCAUUUCCGUCUGCUCUUCCCCACCAAUUCCGGACACUAAAAAUGUAUAACCAUAAUGCAAAAUUCCAAUUUACCCCUUCAAAUUAAAAUUGGGGGUCGUAAUUACCCCUUUAAAUAAAUUACAAGGUGAAAUAUCAAAUUCAAAAAACGUGUACUUGAACUUAAGGAGGGUAAAAUGCAAUUUUAUUAGUCAUAAAGGGCAAGACAGUCUUUCUACUGUGGUUCAAUCUGUAAUGAUACCACCCACCCAGGAAGAAUGGCUUGCAGAGUUGGCAAUGUCGUUUCUCUUUGGACGAAUUCACCAUUUUCACUCUCUCUAAGCUGAAAACUAGUAGACCCAUCGUUUUCUCUCUCUAGAUAUACAAAUUUUCUAUCUCUAUACAUCACUCUCUCUAUCUAACCAGUAGUUAAGCUGCUCCACUCCUUCAACUACCCCUCUUUACUUUCUCUCUCAUCAUUCCAUCAUUUAUUUCUCCUAUAUUUAUUAAUUCUCUCACAUUCAAUAAAAGAAUACUAGUAGGCAAAGUAGAGAGAGAGAGAGGGAGAGGUGAAACGGAACGAUGCCGUUGGUGAGAACUGCGGUGAGGAAUGUGUACGGAUUGGGAACGCCGGAAUUGUAUCGAGACUCCGAGAAGGAGGAUCCAAAGGCGGUGCUUGACGGAGUUGCAGUCGCUGGACUCGUCGGGAUCUUGCGUCAGCUCGGCGAUCUCGCUGAGUACGUUUUUUAAUUUUUCAGAAGUUUUUAAAACACAUUUGUUCAUUUUCUGCUCUUUGCCAGCUUUAAAGUUCAAUCUUAGUGAACGUUUUCCGAAAAAAGUUUCAUCUUUGAUUUUUCCGUGGUGAAGCUGAAGUAAUUUCUGGAAAAAUUUAACUUUUUUUGUACUGACUAAACGGAAGUAUUGCUGAAAUUGGCUAUAUUUCGAAUUAAGUUUAUAGCUUAGUAAAGUUACACUUUUUUUCGAUGAGAAGGAAUUAUCUGAAUUUUACUCGUUGUUAUCAGCAUCUUUCUUUCUUCUUGUUUUCAUUCUUUCAUAAUUAUUUCCCUAGUCUUAGUGCAUGCAAAAUAAGUUGUUCCUCAGCUCCACUUUUCAUGACACAAGUAUGUUAAUUUGACUGGUAGAUUAUAUAUAAGUAGUGGAAGAAAAUGCUAAUGUGGUUUAAAUUUUCCUUGGUAUCAAUGCAGACUUGACAAAUGAUAGGGAACAAUGAAAGAAAAAGAUUCAUAUAUGUCAUGCUAUACUAGUUGAGAAUAGGUUUUAGACUUGUUAGAGAACUUCUAAUAUUAUGGUUAUUAUUAUUUAUUAUAUAUAUUUGAAAUUAUUUUUCACUUUAUUUUAUUUAGUACGAUGAUGACGUGAAAUGAAGAAGUCGGGAUUCAUAUAGUCCACUUCUAACUUGAGAAUGAGGUGUAGUUGUUGUUGUUUGAUUUGGAUUUUUGAAACUAUAUUAGUGAUGUCAAACACUUCUGGUUAUUUCAAAUGGAAAAAUGUCAUUUAAAUUAGGAGAAAAAAGAUGAUGUCUUAUAAAUAAGAAAAAAAAGAAGAAGGUAACUCCUUUUUCUGUUCAAUUUGGUUACUUCGGAUCUACCUAAGUCAAGUUGACUGGAUUUUGGGGAAAAUGAGAAAAGGAUAAACUUUUCAUUCGAAGAUAGCAAAUAGAGAUUUACCAAGGAAAUUUGUGGUAAAAGGUUUUGUCAUAUUGACUCUAGAGAAUUGUGAAGUGAAAAAAUAUUUAGACGAAAGGGGUAUCUGUAUAGUGCGUUCAAUAUAAUCUUACUCUAUGGCCAUCAUGCUGUAAGGAAAAAAUGUUUGUAUUUGGGAAGUUUAAUGUUAUUCUGCUUACAUUUGCAACAUUUAUGAUGAGGCACUUGGUAAACAUGAUCAGAGGAAGUUUAGCUAUUGAUAAUCUUAACAUGUGACUGCAUUGCAAUUGUUGUCUUGAUUACUUGAGUGGUGGUUCUUCACAUGUACAUUCGGUUGUAAACUUGACCAAGGCUUGUGGCAGUCAUCUUGUACAAUAUGGUGGUUCUAGCAUUCAACAUUAAUAUAUUGGGUUUAAGGAAUUGGCACCUUUAAAUUUGUUAUUAGUGAAGAAUCUUUCUUUUUCUUUUCCUGUGAAGUGCAUGCUAGUCUGCUAGAAACAAGCUAUUUAGGCUAAUUGGAAGAUAUGGUUGAUUUCAGUAUGGUAGUGAUGACUAGUAUGACCAACAAAAACUCAGCAGAAAGUCCUUAAUUGUUAUAGCUCAUACAGAUUAUACAGAGUAGUUAUAAUGCAUCUAAGAAAUGGUAAAUGCUGGGCCAGCAUUGCUAAAAUGUAGUUUAAUGUGACCCCCCAUCCCCAGGAUAUAGCUUACCGAUCAAUGAAGUUUUAAUGAAGACCAUGAGAGAUCAAGGUUUGAAUUCUAGCAGAGGCAAAAAAUUAAGGUGAUUUGUUUCCAUCUGCCUAAGCCUUGACAGGUAAAGUUACCUGAUACAUGUGAUACAUGUACCUGUAUUGGUGUAAAGAUGCAAGUACCUGUGAUAACAUUGAGGUGCAUGCAAGCUGGUAUAGACACUCCAUUCUAUUCCAUAUAUUAGAAAAAGAAGAGGAGUUCAAUGUGGUGGUCUUACCUUCUUAUCAGAGGUUAAUGGCUCCUUGCCUUUUGGAGGAAGAAGUAAUGAAUUGUGCUUAACUAUGCAUUUGAUUUCUGUUGGGCAGAAUUCUUUUGUUGCUUUUGGGUUGUUUUCUGAGUUUUAGUUCUAGUAUAUCUUUUACUGCAGAUAACUUAAGUGCUCUGAAUUAGCCAUCUGUUAUUUGGAGCUGGGGUUGAUAUUGAUAUAUAAGUUGCAGGGGGUAUUUCAAACAGCCAAUACUAAUAUGUUUGACCAAGCUUCUGAGAAGCCAAAAGUGUUUAUAUUAGAGAAUUGGGAGUGUUUGGCCUAGGUUUUAGGUAAAAAUAAAUGCUUCGAAUAGUAGCAGAAGCUGGAAAAAAGUAACUUUUUCCCAGAAACACUCCUGCAGCCUUGGCCAAGCACAAAUUAGUGCUCUAAUAUUGGCAAAAGUGCUUACCAAAUUGAUUAGCCAAACACAAACUGCUACUCUUCAAAAUCACUUUUUCAAAAAACUACUUUUGACAAAAUAAAAACACUAUUCAAAAUAAGCAGAUUUUGCAGCUUGGCUAAACAGGCGAAGUCUCAAAAGUGUUAUCAUUUUGUCUUAUCCUUUAAGAUCAACACAAGGUCCUUAGAAGAUUGGGGGUACAUACUAUUAUCUAUUGCUCUAUAGUAAUUUUUGGACUUCAUUUGUUGGAAUGAGAUACAUGUAAGUUUACUCUCAGUUUGAUGUCCAAUUAAGGAUUGGAAAAGUAACUUUUGAAUGCUUAGAACAUAGUAAUUAAUAUUAGUUUUGUACUUGUAGAUUUGCAGCGGAAGUGUUUCAUGGCUUACAAGAGCAAGUGAUGGUUACAUCCUCAAGAAGCAAUAAGUUGGUUGCUCGGGUGCAAAAAAUUGAAGCUGCACUUCCUCCACUUGAGAAAUCAGUAUUGGCACAACGGAGUCAUUUACACUUUGCUUAUACAGCUGGUAUGACUUUUUAAUCUCAAUUACUGGAUUCCUUCUACCGAUGAUAGAAGAUAGUGGGAAUGGGGGAAAUUUGGUUUUAUUUAUCUCACUCAGAUAUAUCUGUCUAUGAUUCAAAUGAUGUUCCAAAUAGUUCCACAAAGGAAGUUUUGGUUGUAGGAAAUACUUCAAUUUUGGUGUAUUUGGAAUAUCUAUUUCCGCAGAAAUGGCUUCUUUUCCCGUUCGAGUUUUUAUUUUUUUAUGGAAGCAGUUGGUAUGCAGGAUCCAAUUGGCAUGCCCGUAUCCGUAGUGAACAAAAUCAUUUUAUAUACAAUGACUUGCCAAGAUUUAUCAUGGAUUCGUAUGAAGAAUGUCAUGGUCCGCCACGCUUGCAUUUGCUUGACAAGUAUGUGAACUCACCUUUAUAGCUAUAUUUGUAUAUCCUGAUUGCACUGUUACACUCGUGAAACUUUUACUUGUCUCUUCAGAUUUGACCCUGGUGGACCUGGAUCUUGCUUGAAAAGGUAUUCAGAUCCAACUUUCUUUAAGAGAGCAUCAGUUGGAUCAGAUGAAGAAUAUAUUGCCAAAGUCCUAAAAGAAAAGAAGGGUCGGAAGAUUAAGGUAUCUCACAAAUUAUUCUGAAAUUACCUGCCACAGCUUAACUAGUGUAGAUUGACUUGGGAUUUUUAUGAGCAGUAUCUUUUUUUUUUGAAACUGGUAAGGCUGAAUUCUUCAGCAUUAAGGGUAUGCUGGCUACCUCCAGAAAGGGAUAAUUACAGAUUUCCUAUCAAAUCUAUAAUCUGGUCUAUAUCAUCUAUACAAAGCUGUUUACACCAAAAAAUUAGAGAUACUAUACAAUUCCAUUUAACUUUGUGGAUGGAAUUGGAUCUAUCUUCAAAACAUCUUCCAUUUCUUUCUUUCCAGACUGAUGGUAUUAGCUUCCACCAUCUCUUUUGACUCUUACUGCCUCCCCUCCUAAUCUAGCAGCUCAACAGAUCUGAUGUAUGUUCUGGCAUUGUCCAGUUCAUGCUUGUGAUGUUGAGAAACAAGUUCCAAAUUUGAGCAGUAAACUUGCAUUACUUACAAUGCAGGAAGAGAUGGUUAUUUGUUUCCCCUGUCAAGUUGCACAAAAAACACCUAGGAACCAGUUGUCUGCCUUUCUUUUGUAGAACUUCUUCUGUUAAACAUGCUCUCUUUAUCACUAACCAGGUGAAACACUUUACUUUUGUAGGAAUGUCACUCUUCCAAAAGUAGUUCCAAUUAUAUUUUGGGGCCCCUGUCAUCCCCAUUAGUCCUCUUUUGUAGGCAUUGCUGACUGAGAAGACUCCAUCCUUGCUAUGUUUCCACAGGAUCUUGUCUGUUGCUGUUGUAGUUAUAAUCAUUCCAGCUAGUUUUUCCAGUAGCACUGCCACCCUCUCCACCUCCCAGUCAUUAAGUAGUCUUCUUAAAGAUAUGUCCCAUCCCUUUUCUUUCCAAUAAUCACUCACUCUAGCAUCAGGGUUCUCACAGAUUAGAAAUAAAUCUGGAAAAAGUUCUCUAAGAGAGGUUUGGUCUAUCCAACCAUCUUUCCAAAAUUUACUUUUGUUUCCAUUACCCACCUUAAUAUACACAUUUCCUUCCAUUUGUGGCCAUAGGUUCCUGAUUGUCCUCCAUACCCCCACCCCAUAUGGUUUAGAGGUGAUUUUUGUACACCAGAGAUUUAGUUCUCCAUAUUUUGCUACUAUAACCUCCUUCCAGAGAGCUGCAUCUUCCUCAGUGUAUCUCCAUAGCCAUUUCAUCAAAAGGCUUUCAUUUUGCAGCCUCAAAUUUCUGAUCCCUAACCCCUCUUCUUGCUAAGAAGAACAUUCUUCCAGUUGACUAAGUUAUAACCCUUUCCCUCCUUAUUGCUUUUCCAUAGGAAGUUCCUUCUAAGCUUGUCUCGUUUUUUCACCACCUUUGCUUGGAUUGGAAACAAGGACAUCACAUAGGUUGGUAAAGAGUCCAGAACAGAGUUUAUGAGGAUCAAUCUACCCCCUAGGGAUAGGUAUUGCGCCUUCCAUCUAGCAAGUUUCUUCUCCGUUUUCACCAGAAUACCAUUCCAUAUCUCCAUUGUUUUGUGUUUGCUACCCAGGGGCAUGCCCAGGUAUAUGGUAGGCAAAUGCUCCACUUUGCAUCCCAAUAUAUUUGCUAGUUGCUGGAUCUGAGGGACCUCAUUUACCGGAAAGAGACUACUUUUUCCCCAGUUUACUUUCAACCCUGAAACUGCUUCAAACAAAACCAAAAUCACUCUGAUGUAGCUAAUCUGUUCUGCUGUAGGUUCACAAAAGAUGAUAGUAUCAUCCGCAUAGAGCAGAUGACACACUUCUUUUUCUUCCCCCACUCUAUCUCCGACCUGAAAGCCUCUAAUCCAUCUGUUUUGUGUUGCAAUCCUCAUCAUACUAUCAAAGCCUUUCAUUGCCAAAAUGAAUAAGAAAGGGGAAAGUGGAUCACCCUGUCUCAGCCCUCUUUCUGAUUCGAAAAAGCCCACGGGUUCCCAUUCACAAGGACAGAAAACUUGACUGUUUUUAUACACACCUCAAUCCACUUUAUCCAUUUGCUGCCAAAUCCCAUUUGUCUGAGAGUAUUCAGAAGGAAAGACCAAUUCACGCGGUCAUAGGCUUUCUGAAUAUCCAAUUUGCACAUUAGACCAGGGGCUCCUCCUUUCAUUCUUGAGUCAAUGCAUUCACUAGCAAUGAGUGUUGCAUCCGUGAUUUGCCUCCCCUUUACAAAAGCCAUUUGAUGUUUGUUGAUCAAUUUCGACACCACCUUUUUUAGCCUUUUUUUUUUUGAAAUAAACACCACCUGUUUUAGCCUUUCAACCAACAAUCUAGCAAUGAUCUUGUAGACUCCCCCCACCAGGCUGAUUGGCCUAAAAUCCUUCAACUCUGAUGCUCCAGGUUUCUUUGGGAUUAAAGCAAUAAAAGUUGCAUUAAAGCUCUUCUCAAAAAUCUGAUUAGAAUGAAAAAAUUGAAUUGUAUUGGUGAUGUCUUCCUUCAACAGGGCCCAAAAAGUCUGGAAGAAUACCAUCGGAUAUCCAUCAGGACCCGGGGCUUUCUCCUUUGCACAUAAGUUCAAACAUACCCUCAUCUCUUCUUCCUCAAAAGGUCUCUGCAGCCAUACUUUUUCUUCUUCAGUGAUCAUUGUAGCCUCCUGCAGUCUCAACUCAGGUCUCCAUUGUUCUGCCUCCUUGUAUAGGUUUUUAUAGAAAUUAUGCACGGCCUCUUUGAUCACAGCUUGAUCCUUAGUAACAGCUCCAUCCACUUCCAAUUGGUCUAUAUAGUUGAAUCUUUUAUGAGAAGUUGCAAUUCUGUGGAAAAAUCGUGUGUUCUUGUCACCUUGUUUUAGCCAUUGGAUUCUUGAUCUUUGCUUCCAAGCUAAUUCUUCCUUCCUUGCCACAUCUUCAAAUUCCAUUCCCAGAUGUGUCUUUUGCAGCAGUUCAUCAUCUGUGAGGGGCCUUUGUUCCUGAAUUGUUUCCCAAUUAGAAAUUUGAUUGAGAAUAUCUUCCUUCCUUUGUUUUCAGUUCCCCUUAUUAUUUUUGCUCCACUCCUUAAGCUUUACUUUCAACAUUUUUAACUUUUCAGCCAAAUUAUAGCCUGGUCUGCCAGUGACACUAAAUGACUCCCACCAAUCUUUCACCUUCUCUUUGAAACCCUCCACCUCUAACCACCAUGUUUCAAAUUUAAAAUAAGACUUUUUCCACCCUUCAUCUCCACAGGACAACACAAUAGGGAUUAUGAUCUGAAGCAAUUUUGGGGAGACUACUUUGAAUUAUCUGUGUAAAAUUCUCUCCCCACUCUGCACAAUAUAGAAAUCUGUCAAUUCUAGAAGCACAAAUAUUAUUCUCUCCCUUUCUCCAGGUGAAAGAGCCUCCACAUAAAGGAGGAUCAACCAUCUCCAGUUCUUCAAUGAAGGAUGAGAAUUCUGACAUAGCACCGGUUAGUCUGUGACAAUUUGUUCUCUCUGACGGAUAUCUAGUGACAUUGAAGUCACCACACAUUAUGAGCAGUAUCUUCGUAUAUAUUCACAGGACAUAAAGGAUAUUAUAAAGUUGAAGAACUACAUCUUAAAUAGAAAAAUACUAGUAUCACACACAUCAAUGAAAGCCUCUCCAAAAUGUGCCUUGCAUCUAGGUAGAGCCAGAAGUAUGCUGUAUGGGAUAGGUUAGAACCAUAUAAUUAGCAGGGAUAGCUAGAAAUUUGAUUCAUAGGGAGAAGAUCAUUUAUGUCAAAUAUAUAGAUUUAGGAGUAUAAAUUUGUAUUAGUUUAUAUACAUAGACAAAAGAAGUCUAAAAAUGAGAUAAAAUUAUUGAAAAUUGAAUGAAAUUAGCUUUGAUUGAAAACUAUCACACAAAUUUAGCAGAUUAAAAAUAAAUAAGAGACCAGCAUGUUAAUAAUAUCACUAUGGAACUGUCUUUUCAACAAAGAAAAAUUGCAACCUGAUCUUUUAUUAUUAAAGUUCUUUUCAAGAAAAUAAUUCAAUGAAACUAAACACUGAUUCCUCACUGGUGGAUACAUUUAAUAGAGCAAAGAAACAUAUCAACAAUAUAUUUUUGCACAAAUUUAAUGAAAUUAUAUUCUAGUGGUAGUUCAUAUUAAAUUCUCUUUUGGACAUAGCAUUGUCAUCUAAGUAAACUAAAUUUAACUAAUAUUUAACUUACACUGUCAAUUGGAACAAAGAAAUAGGGGAGUCCGGUGCACUAAGCUCCCACUAUGCGCAGGGCCUAGGUAAGGUAUGGACCACGACAUUGUCCUUUCUUUCAUCUUUUUUCCGCGUUGUCUGUUUAGUUUUUGGGUUUGAAGAACUUUCUUUGUGUGGAAAGCUAAUAUCUCUUUUAUUAAUUACUAUCCUUGAACGGGAGGGAGGGCAUAAAUAGAAACCAAGCAAGAGUCCAAAACUAAAUAGUUGUAUUAGUUCAUACCAAAUGUUAGGUAUCCACUGCCAAUAUAUCAAUACAGGGUUGUCCUUUUUUCCUUUAUUUUUCUUGUUUUGGGGUUGCUCAUGGGGGAGUUGUUAAGGUGUUUGGCAUUAAAAAAAAAGUUGAGGAGGGGAGGCCGGGGAAGGAGACACAACCCCUGAGCAUACCAGUGCUUGACAUUGAUGAAAUCUAACUUUGCACAGUGAACAUCAAGGAUUUACUAGAAGCUCAAGUUAGUACUGUCUGUUUAUAAUUGCAUUAAUCUUAAAAAAAAUUCCAUAACCAUACUCCUAACAAAGAACGGAAAUGAAAGGUGAUACUACAGAUGCAGAUUGAGCAAAAGAUGCAAGGGGGAUGGGCUUCUUAUGAGUCAUCCUUCCAUUAGUAAAAAUUGAAAAGGAUCAGAGCUUAUUUGCACUGAGAGACGAUGGUCUUUUGUUUAGCGGGGUGUUACUUCGGCCCUGAAAUAUUAUAAUUUAUUUUCUGUAGUGCUUCUUAUAAUAAGCCCAAAAAAGGAUUUAGCUCCAUUGGUGUUUUCCAACAAGUGCUCAUGAAUGUUAAACAAAAAUCUGAGCUAUUGCAAGCUUGUUUAUAUUUGGUGGUAAUUUCAAUAAAUUUUCUAACACAAAUAUGUGUCAACAUUGAACAGAAGAAAGGAUCAUGGAGGAGGAAUGGAGAAGUCUCUCGUAGUGCGUCUAUGCCCAAUUAUGGUAGUAGGUAUGCAUUACUUGUCUUCUCUUGUGGACAGAAAAAAUGGAGAAAAAGUGGUGACUUUAGAGAAUUCAUGUAUGAUAGGAAGGGGGUAGGGGGGAGUAUAUUUGUAGCUUUUACAGAUCGGAAUUUUCUGAAAGAUAACUUUGUGAUUUUUGCAGAAUGCAAUUUGCUUAUAGAAAUCUCGAUAGGCGUCCUUCCUGGGUUCAGAGUUUCUCCACAUAUGAUACGACCCUCAAAUCUGACAUAGAUUCGAGACAUGGGUCGGGUCUGACGGACUAUGUUUCACAGCCAAGUUUCUCUAUUCAACCUGAAGAUGGAAAAUCUGAGACUGUCUCGUCUCCAAUAAAAAUGCAGCACAAUCAGUCCUUUGAUUAUUCUUUUCUCGAAGAAAAGAGUGAUCAUGCUUUCAAUGAUAUUGACAAUGAUUUUUCACAAGAGCUAACUGACCUUGUUUCAACGUCUGUUUCUUGGAACUUGAAGAUGCAACCUGACACGCAAGAGUCUAAAGGAUCCAUUGAUUCAACUUCACAGCUUCAUCUUAACAAUAUGCUUGAUCAUGCUUUUCCUGAGGAAAGAUGUGAAGUUGUUUAUGAUGACAUUGGUAAUAUUGUAUCCGAAGAGCAAGCUGAUCAUUGCACAUCUUCUGUUACUUGGAAUGAUAAAACAGGACGUGAGAAACAACAGUCUAGAGAAUCCUUCUCUUCUCCAUCCCAGAUUCAUCAUGAUGAUUUGCCUGAUUAUGCUUCCCUUGAUCGAAAAGGCGAUGAUGAGUACAGUGAUAUGGGAAAUAGUUCAACAGAGGACCAAAUUGGCCGCAACUUAUUGUCUGUUGCUUUGAGUGGUAAGAUGAGAACUGCAGAAGUAGAGUCUAAAGAAAUCUUCUACUCUCCGUUGCAGAUGAAUCCAAGUGCUUCCAUAGAAGAUGCUUCUCCCGAUGAAAAGCUUUGGGUCAUAUCUGAUGAAGAGAGUAACAAUUUUCCACAAGGGCAAGUGGUUCUUAGUUCACCUUUCUCAAGUAGCAGUGUUAAGAAUGAACAGUUGGACCUGAGUAUUCAGAAGUAUGAUUUUGAUGAGAGUUUGGAGACACUUCAAGAAAAUCUAGUCCUAGAUACACAGGUAUUAGAUUUAGCAACUUCUGAAAAUAUUCAACAGCAAAGUUCUGAGCCUGAGGCUGAAAUUAUACAAAGGUCAAUUUCUUAUGAAAGCCAGUUUGAUGACAUUGAAAGUGAAACUGACAGUUUUAUGGAUGCACUUAACACCAUUGAGUCAGAGUCUGAAACUGAUUUGGAUUGCCAAAGAAAACGAGCAAUGGAGCUGGAGUCUAGUUUGAAGACUGAAUCAUCCUUGAAUGGAACCCAUGUAAAUAGAGCAGAACUUUCUGAUCGGAAUUUGUCUACUCCUAUACCCGAGGCUGCGGCCAGAAAUUCCCCUGAGAACUGUGGUUUUGGUGGUAAGACCAACUUGGUAUCUGCUGACUCUGAUCCUGGAGAUUUCUCUUCCUCUGACAAAGUAAAAUGUAAGGAAAUUCCAGAGAAUAUCUCUUCAGGGUUUGGUGAGAUUUUAUCGUCUCCGCAGAUUGCUGGAAUUACUUUAAAACCAGACAGUUCUAUAGGUGUCCCUUCAAGUAAAAAAUCCAAUAUUCUGGAAGCAUCACAAGAGGAACCACUUGUUAGCAAUCAUAUCACCUCUAACCCUAGGAAUCCUGGCUCAGCAUUGCCAGUGGUCAACAAGAUCCAUUGUGGUCCUUCCGACUCUGAAAAACCUCCACCCCAACUUCUUGGCACUCCUAAAGUCAAAUUCUGGACAAAUGGUGGUUUGCUCGGGCUUGAGCCCUCAAAGCCACCAGAUGGUGUAAUAAAUAGUGUUGGUCAAGUUUAUGAAUCUAAUCAAAAUGAGGAAGUCAUUGCUUCAAGGCAAGAUCCUGUUCCCAGCAGUGAAAAACAUGCAGGGAAACAAGAUGAUGUACAGAAUACAUCAAGAGAGAAAGCUGAUUGCCAAAAUUCUGAUCAAGGAGUUGCCUUUUCUAUUAAGAACAUAUCAUCAAGAUUUUCAGCCAAAGAUUUAGAUGUCAAACUUGACAAGUCAAGUAAUUUAUACCAGCAAAACUGCACUGAUAAGCCCCUACACAGUUCUUUAAAUGGAUCUGGUAUGACAUCUAGGACAAUGGGACCAGUGAGUCCAGAAUCCCCUAUUUCAGCUGGUCAAGAGAACGGAAAGAAUUCAUCACGUAUUCUUGAACUAGGUAAUAGAUUGCUUACAAAUGGGUUCCAUGGGAAACUCUCACUUGGUUGGAAUGAUAAGACGGAUUCAGCCAGUUCUUUAAACACUGGAAGCAAUGAGCCUAUAAAUGACUACCAACAAUGUGUGGGUAGAACAAUCAAAGACUUCCCAGGAAGAGGAUCCCCCUUCACAUCACCUCCUUCAUCACCCCCACUUGGACAUAUGAAAAUCUCAUUCCAGCCAAUAGACAGCAUUGAGACUACGAAAUUGAAACUCAGAUUUCCUGAUAGGAGUAAUAUCCAUGAAAGCAAUAAUGAUAUGUUUCCUUCAUUUCAGCUAGUACCAGAGUCUUCUAUUCCUCUGCAAGAAGUUGGUUCAGACUCGGAUGAUGACACAUUUUCCAGAUCAUCUCCCGACCUAUCAGAUGAUUAUCUUAGCCAUCAGUCUGAGUCAAACUCUGAACAGUGGGAAUCUGGUAACUCUCCUAAUUUAAAGGACCAAGAAGUAUACAAUGCUUUGCAUAGAAUAUCAUUAACUGAGUCAACUUCAACAUCUUUCGAGAAUGGCCGAACAGCUCAUCAGAAUUUGCACACCUGCAGUAGACACCAUGUUCCUUUUGCAGAAUACUCUCUGGAGGAUUCUCAGUUGGAUAAUUUAUUUGAUCUUCCAGUUCUGGAUACCCAGCAUUCCUCAUUCAAGCAUGGAGUAGGUAAUACUGUGUCUGCAAGAGAUUUUCUAGAGCCAUUGUCUGGUAAGGAAUCUACACCACCUCCUCCACCUCUUCCUUCAAUGCAGUGGCAGAAUAUGCAAUCACAUUUAGAUGACGAACAAGAUGAUCUACAUCUUUUCUCUGAAAACCAUCAUGUGUUUGAUCAAAAGGAGCCUGGAUCUACCAUUUCCCAUCAACCUAAGCCUCCCCCAUUCAAGCAAAACCAAGUUAUUGAAGCUGCUUUUACAUUGAAAAGCAAGGUAUUCUUCUUAACCUCACUACAAAAUAUCAAAAGGAACAGAAAUUUUGUUUUGAAGGUUCUCUUUCUUCUUUCAUAUACCACUUGAUUAAGUAGGAGGUGACAAUGACACAUUUACACAUGCAGCAGCCACACUCAAUAGACACAACUGGGCAGCAAUUUGCAGAUCAUGCUGAAAAUGGCAGAGGAAACAAUGAAAAGGAAGACUUCCUGCACCAGAUUAGAGCAAAAGUGAGUGGUCAUUAUUGUUCUAUUGGUGAUUGAAUAUUUGUCUGCAGUCUGGUUUUGAUAUUGACUAGUGCAGAUUUGUUUACCAUCUUUAUCUGUUAAUCUUCUUUAAGCCUGAGUGGAUUCCCUGAAUAUUUCAUGAAUUUAUAUCUGCUUUGGAAAAUCAGCUAGCUGCUCUUUUUGAAUUGGAUAGCUAAGCUAGUUUUAGCCUGCUACCUCAAUGGGUUCACUAGCUUCUUUAAGCCUCAUGUUUCCUUGAACUACCCUCUAAUUUUCUUUCUCAUGAAUGUGACCCACCUUCUGUAGGUAAUUGUCUUUCACUCUUCUUUGAAACGUGAGUAGGGGUUGAAGUUAUGAUCUUCAUAUUUGAGGAUGAUGAAGCAUCUAAUAAUAAUUACCAAUUUCAUGUCAUUUUACGAAUUCUCAUUAUCUACUUUCCUUUUUUGUUGUGUGAUUCAGUCGUUCAAUCUUAGACGAACUGCUCCAGCAAAACCAACUGGAACUACAGUGCCUCCAGCAAACGUCAAGGUCAAUGCAAUUUUGGAGAAAGCCAAUGCAAUCCGUCAGGUAUCAACAUUUUAACCUGCAUUCUUCUCUCCCUUGUACAACCCCGAAUCCUCACCUUCCUGGUUACUCCAAGAAUAAUGAAGCACAAACUACCAACACAGCUAAACUGUCCAACUUAUUCCUUUUUCAUUGACUUGUUAUUUUCAACUUGUUGUACUCAGGCAGUUGGAAGUGAUGAUGGAGAAGAUAACUGGAGUGACACUUGAAAUAUUUUUCAAGAAUGAUGACAUUAGUCUAUCAAACCCAAGCGUGUAUAAUUUUGCCUCUGGAGUUAGGUGAGUGUGUGUAAAUAAUUAGUUGUUAUCUGUAAGUAUUUUUAGGUCCCCUUUUUUGUAUCUCGAUUAGCUUUUCACCUUAGGUAGCUUUCAACCUGUUUCUGUAAACAUUGUGCUCUAAACUCUAGUAUGACCCAGCAACAUUUUCAAGGCAUGAAUUUAUGCAUAAGCCACCUCUCUUUGAUGCUUUCAACAUCUAUCUAGUAUUAUUUCACAGCUCCGACCGCACGUUCUUGGAGUCCUAACAAUUGUUAUACUAUAUAUUAUGUGCUCUUUGACUCCUUAGUAAAUCAUUGAGAUUCUCGUAAUGGGAUGGCAUGAUAGAUUUAUUACAUGUUCCUUGAAAUAAUGAAUGGUUCAGAUUUUCUGCUGAAGUUGCUUCCAUGGCAGACCCAUCAUAGAUAUGGAAUCUAAAAACAUUAGCAGUUGCACAAAGUGGAAUCUUAAAAGUAUUAAAAUUGAGAUGUUUCUCUAAAUAUAUAAACAAGCUAAAAAUAAUAGUAGUAAUACAUUGAGACAUCCAAAGUAAUACUCAAUUGAAGUAAUAGUUGUAACAUAAAUAGUAGAACAAAUAUCUCUAAACAAUGGGAAGUGACUAGUAUAAAAUUACAUUGCGUGGAAUAUCUUAUUUAACCCUGGGAUUGAAUUAAUUACCUGUGUAAUUAUAUACUUAUUUUCUGAAAUUUAUUUUGUAGCUUAUUAGCCGGCUGUUCACGACUCAAAAAGUUUCUGACCGUGUCAUGGGGAAAAGGUUUUUUUCUUCUUAUAUAUGGUUAUAGCUUGGGUUUUGAUUGACUUCUUCACUGAAAAUUAGGGUCAAACUCCAGGAACCAUGGCAACUUGGAUUAAAAAUAUUCUGUGCUAAUAGUUCCUCUACUAAAACAGGAGAGCAUCUACCUCUACACAAUUACAUAUAGUAUGCUUGAGGGCAAAUUUUAGAGGGGCGAUGUAAUAGUUGAGAUUUCGGCCCUUUCUUAUAUAGAUAUUGUAUCGUGAAAAUAAAUUAUUUUUUGAUAAAAUCAAAGAUGGAUAUUGUGAUAAAAUACUCAUGUCAAUCAUUAUUUUUGAAGAGGGUUCAAAUUCUAAAUUUGGACAAGUAAAAGUAAAAGACGGAAAUAGUACUAAUUAAUUAGUGGCAUGAGUUUUUGGACCUAUACAAUCUUUAAAAGCAAGUUGUUCAUAAUCAUUAAUCAAGAAAUACAGCUGUGGAAUUACUAGGUAGAAUUGACUUUUGGACAGGUCCCAACUCUUACCCAGAAAUGAACUGAAGUUGCUUAAGAAAAACACCUUCUUUUGCUUGUUUCUAAAAUCUGUUGAGGUGUUCCUUGUUUUCUGCUACUUAAUUAAUUUGUUUUUUACAACUUUAGAAUCUUUUGCAACUACUGGCCUUGAAGGUAACGCCACAAAAUAUUAAACCUCAAACUUGUCCCUCUUUUCGCGCUGUUUUUUUUUUUUUUUAAAUAUGCUCGGGGUGGACAACUUAUAAUAAUAAUAUAAAUAAUUUAUCACUAACCUAGUAAGUAAUUAAGCUUUUAUGUUAUCAAUUUUGAAUUUGCAGGCUCAUGAUAUAUAAGAGCAACUUUCCUGAAAAGGGAUUAAAAAGAAUAAAUAAAUAAAUAAUUUGAUCAGUAACGUCCUAAAACUUUAUUUGAAUUAUGAAUUUUAUCUUUUAUUAUUUUUAGAAUGAGUAUUAUUCAAUAAAAUAAUUUGACAAUCAAUUAAAUAAACUAAUCGAGUACUUUGAAAGAAUCUUAUUAAAUUAAAUGAGCUACUACAUGCAAAUUGCAAUAGGCAUUUACCACUUCUCAAUUAAAAAUUAUACUCACUCAUUUGGAGUUAUGAUCAUCGAAUUCCUCCACUCCCUCUAGCUUUAUAAAUAUAAUAUUAAUAAGUUAAUUAGUUUGAUAAAAAAAAUAAAAAAAAAUAGUUUGACCUGGCAUACUCUUUGAAAAAGCUUUAAAAUAGAAGUGUAUUUUAUUAAAUUAAUCUUAAUAAUUAUACUUUGAAAUUUUUAAUUUGAUUGUUGUUAUUUUAUAUCAAGGAAAUAUGCAACAAAAAAAAUAAAUAGUACUCUCUCUGUUCUUUUUUCCUUAUCACAUUUUACUUCUUGAGAGUCAAACAAUAUAAACUUUCAACAAUAGUUAAAGAUGUAAUUUUCUUAUCAUAUUAACGUGAGAAGAAUUAUAACUUAUAGUAUUUUUUCAUAUAGUUUCCGAACAUCUAAAUUUUAAAUAUUAUAUUAUUCAAAUUCAAUUUAACUCCAAAAAAUAAUUAAAUUGAUUUUCGUAAAGCAAAAUAUAAUAAAUAAAAAAGAGUAGAUAAAGUAACAAUUUACUAAAAUAGAUACAUAAAAUAAAAUAUCUAUUUUUAUCAUAAAUGCCGCCCAUUAAAAUGAACCUGAGUGAGUACCAAAUUAACAAGAACAAAAGAAGUUUCCGUAACAAGUAAGAGACCAAACAAUAGGACAAAGAAAUUUUAGUGCUAUAAAAAAACGUACCCCAUUAAACCUUAUCUGUUUCUUUCCAAAAAAAAGCCAUGUGUCUUGGCUAAUAUCCUGAUAAUAAUUAAUAAAUUCGUCAAGAAUAAUUAAUUAAUUUCGACCUAAAAACAAAACAAUAUCUUUUGAAAAAGAUGCAUGUAUCUAGAGUAGAUUACUUUUAUCUUCUACAAUAUCAACAGUUAUUAUGUUAAUUAUAUUUUUUAAUUGUGAUGAUGUAUUUCCCAAUUAGUCUUCAACUUGGUCUUUAAUUGGAGGAAAAUAACAUUAAUUACAGAAGAAGAUAUGAAUUAAUUAUUAAAUAAAAGAAAAGAAAGAAAGGGUUUCUUCCCUUGAUUAGUUUAAGCAACUUGGUUAUCAUCCACAACAGCACCAACAUGCAAUUUAGCCUUUCCAACACACCCCUAAUUAUAUGCUUUUUAUUAGCUCAACUUUUUCUUUUUUUUUCAUUUUCAAAAUUUAGGUACAAUCCGAACUUUUUAUAAUAAUCAUUUUUUGUGAUAACAUUUCACGGAGAUAAUCAAGUUUUUUUUAAUCAAUUUUUCACAUUAUAUUUUACUUAUUUAUAACAUUAUUCUACUUAUAAUAAUAACCAUCAUCAUUAGUAACACUUUGAUAAAAACCCUACUCAAAUAUUGAUUGAUUUUGCCUUUCAAUAUAAUAUUUGUUAAUUCUGCUACUUGGAUUGAGAUAGAAGAUCGAUGUGAUUGUUAAGGGAAAGACUAUCUUUUAUUAUAUUAUUUUGUUGAAAUUUUGGACGAAAAUCUUCAUUAAUUAAAGCUUAUAUUACCACGAUGAGGCUAGACUCUACGAAACAAGCUAAAACUAUAGAUUUCUCCCAUUAAACUUGAUCUUUUUGAAGUUUUAAAUCACUUUAAAUUCAAUUCUUUUUAGGUAACUUACAACUAGUUAUGGAUUAUAUUGCUAUUUAUAGUGGUAACUAUAAGGGCAACUAAGUGGAAAUUAAAUGUGAAGAACUAAUUACAAUUACCAUAAGAUUGAAUAUUCUACAUAUAUAUUCAACAAACUUUUGAAAUUUUUUUUAAGCAUAAGUUAUAAAAGUAAGCAAAAAGAAAAAGUGGAUACAUCUUUUCCAUGUAAAGGACUUCAAUGCUUGUCAUUUUAAUAUAUAGAAUAAAAUAAAAUAAAAAGUUUUGUGUUGGAAAUGAAGAAGCUCUGUAGUAAUAGCCUGUUUUGCUCAAAGAAAAGACUAUAUACCUUUAUUAAAGGUAACACCAUAAUCUUGAAAAUUUAAAAGGUACUCUCUCUACUUUUUAAUUUUAUUAGUAAUUUUUAUGAACUGAAAGCUACUCAGACAGCAACACAUUUACUAAAAAUUCUGAUUGAUUUUGAAAAAAGAUGACAUAAUAAAAGUAAUUAGAAAAAAGAAAUAGAAAAUAUUAAUAGAUGCUUGAAAAGCAAAGACUUUGAUUAAAGAAAAAAAAGCCAAAAGGAAUAGCAUUUAUUUACCAUAACAAGCAUCCAACUUUAAAGUUUAAAGUAUAAAAUUAUCCCCUUUUUUGGUUUCUCCAAAAAUAUCUUUCAGUUCUUAUCUCUUUUUAUGACUUCUCUGUUCCCCUUCAUUUUAAGUUUAAGUCAAUGAUUUUUCCGUUAUUUUAGGGGGAAAACCCUUUUUUUUUUCCUUUUCCUUUUCAUUUUUUUAUUUACCUUUUUAAGUUCAUUAAAAGUAUAUGAAUAUUAUAAUAAAAUAUGUAAAUAGGUACGUAUUAAGCUCAAUUGUAAAUAAGUAAAGUGAAUAGAAAAAGUAAUUUUGUAGCGAAAUAUUUCUGUAAAUUGUAAUACGCCCCUCCUUCAAAAAUACAUUACUUUUAUACCUGACCAUUAAAUAUGUUUAUAAACCAUGCACCAAUAAAGUCAUGACAUGUGUCAUUACCUUCAACGGAAGAUAAUUCUUCCGCUUCUUUUCCCUGUAUACAAAGUUAAUAGGAUUUUAUGACGUUGAUGUUAUCUAUGGAGGGUUUUUUUUUACUCAGUAUCAAUAAGUGGAGGAGACAUCUUAUGCUUAGGAAAUGACUUUUUUUAAAAAAAAAUUAUACUGUUUAGUUUGAUUAAAAUUUAAAUUUUAUAUAAAUAUAUUAUAUGUUGAUUGUCGUGUUAUCUAUUUUAUAUUUUUUGACACCUCUUAACAAAAUUUAUAGCUCCGCCAUUAGACAUCAUCAUCAUUGUUAAAUGUUGGUACUAAUUAUAAAGAGAUAAAGAUGUGUGGUGUGCAUUACAUUAUAUGCAAUCAUGUCUAAUAACUUCUUUUCUUUCCUUGGUCUAAAGAAGAAAAGACUGUUGAAUGAAUGAUGAGGGACUUAAAAAGAACUGAAAGUACUCAAACAGGUAGGGGUGCAAAAACCGAUUUAACCAAUAAAUCAAAUCGAAAAAAUUACUAUUGGUUUAUUGGGCUAACAUUUUUUAAAUGGUUUCGCAAAUUUUUUUAUUGGGUUAUUGAUUCGAUUUCCGGUUUUAUGAUUUUGUUAGUGGUUAAACCGAUAACUCAAUAAGACUUUAUACUAAAUUUACUAUUUUAUCCCUAUACCAGUAAACCCUAAUUAUAUAACAUUUUACAAACCCUAUUACUUUAAUCUCAGUAUUACUUAAAACCCUAAUUAUUGUUUCAUUCUAUAAUUGCAAGCACACUUCUAACUUGAAUGUGCCAAUUGCCUAGACUUGCUGAAAAACGAUUGUUACUUUCACACUUUUUCCUUUGAAUGUGUCUAGUGUCUAAACUUGCAAGAAAAAUGAUUGUUACUUUUAUGAUAAUUAUUUUCAUGCCAAAUGCUGGAAAAAUCAUAAGGUUUAUAUGAAAAUUUUCUUAUCGUGUAUAUUAAUAUAUAUGAGUAUUUUCUUAUUGGUUAAACCGAAAACUGAACCGUUAAGUAUCAUAAACCGAUUAACCAAAAACCAAUAAGAAAUAUGUUAUUGGUUUGGUUAUCGGUUUGACGUAUUUACAAACCGAAAACCCAUAACCCGACCAAUAACACAUAAAAUCGAAUUGAACCGACUGAUGCGCACCCCUACUGUAUACUUUAGUUAAAAGGGUAAAAAUAUUUUAAAAGGUAAAAUAUCAUUCUGGUCAAAAGGAUUUUUCCAUAUAUAUAUAUAUAUGGCUGAUUAAGAUUAGAAUUUUUUUUUUUUGAUUCCAUCAAGAAAUUGCACCAAUUAAGGUAGGCAUAUUAUAAAGUUUUAGUAUGGCUGAUGAUUUUUUUUGUCUAUCAAACAAAACAACUUCAAAUUUUGAAAAAAAGAUAAAAAUUGGUCAAAAACUUUUUCACGGAUUUUCCUUUCAAAUGCCACCUAAAUGUAUCCAACCUCGCUGACACCAUAUAACAUUAUCAUCGAUUUUGAUCUUAUUUAAGCAUAGCCUAAUUAGUAAAUCAUAAUUUUAAUGAUAUCCACAAGUUAUCUUCCUAGAGAAAUUACUUUUUUAAAAUUUUAAAAUAAGCGUACUUAGGACUUAACUUAGGAGAGUGUAAGGAUUGGAAUUUUGGACGAAGGUGUGUCUAAUUAAUUAAUAUGUACUAUUUAUUCAAAUUUUUAACAAUAGAAUUUAAAUUAUUUAGUUUGGUGUAAAUAGUGGAAUAACAACAAUAAUAACAUAUCUAAUGAAAUAUUAUAAAUAAAUAGUGUAAACAGAUUUUACCACUGCUCUUUAUACAAUAUAAAUAGUGGAACGCUGUAUAAAAAAGAUCCACGCUGAUGGAUGGAUUGAGUGGAAGAAGGGAAAAAAAUAUUGGAGCUUCACCCUUAAGGAUUAAAUGGCAUGAACAUGAUGUGUCAGCAUAAUCUCAAUCUUGAUUAAAUAAAAGAAAAUACUUUAUAGGCAAAAGCUAAUCCAGAUUUGAUAUUAAACUAAACAUUAGAAAAGACCUCCUUUUUUUUUUUUAGCUUUAUCUCUUUCUUUUAAUUCACCCCCUUAUGGCCUUAUCUUUUAUAUAAUAACUCCCACUUUUUUUGAAAUUGAAAAAUAUAAGCAACCUACCUGGUGUAGGUCCCACUUCAUGGAGACUUUCAACACAAAAAGAUGACGUGGAAUAAUGAUGUGGACAAAAAGUUCAGCAUCAACUUUUUUAGCCUCCCCACCCACCCACCCCACAACCUCAUAUAUAUACUCAUAUGAUAGAAUAAAGAAUAAAAAGAAAAAAAGAACCUUGUUUGUUGCUCAUGGCGGCUCCCUUUUUCCUUUUAUUCUUUUACUGGAAAUUUACACCUUACUUUAUUCCUUUUUGCACUUUUUGCUCCCCUAAUUAUAUCUAUCACACGUAUAUGGUUACUAACCUAUUCAUAUACUUGAAAAAACAAUUAUUUUACUUUUUUCAUUUUUUAAUUAAAAGUUAGUUUUUUAUUAAAUACUAUUUACUUUGUCUUAAUUUAUAUGACAGCCUUUCAUUUUUCGAGAGUCAAACAAUUUAAGUUUGAUCGGAAAUAUUCACAUGAAAUCUUGAAUUUUUUUGAAAUGAAAUUUAAAUAUUUGUAAACUACUUAAAAAGUAAUAUAAGUCACAAUAAUUGGCAAUCCAAAAUAUUUAAAAGAUAUAUAAAAAAAUUACGAUAAAAAAUACUCCCUCCGUCCCAUUUUAUAUGAUGUACUUUGAUUUGGCACAAACUUUAAGAAAAAUGGAAAGACUUUUAAAACUUGUGGUCCAAAAUGAAUGAUAGAAAUUUGUGUGGUUGUAAAUCAUUUCAUUAAGGGUAAAAAAGACAUUUUAUAGGCAAAUUGUUACUUAAAAUAGAAAUGUGUCAUUCUUUUUGGGACUGACUAAAAAGGAAAGUAAGUCAUAUAAAUUGGGACAGAGGGAGUAACUUAUUUGAAUUAUGAAAUCCGAAAUAUGUCACAUAAAUUGAGACGAAAAAAGUAUACCAUAUCCAUUUUAUUUGAUGUGUUUUAAUUUAAUUAUAUAAUUUUUUUUAUCUAUAUUAAGAUUUCAAAUUAAAAAUAUGUAUAACAUAUCAAAAUACUUGAUUAGUCUUCUGGUUUUGAACGUGUCAUAUUCAUUUCUGUAAAACAAAUGUUAAUAAAAAUAACAUACAAAUAUUUGAAUAAAACUUUUGUUAAAUACAUAAAAUAUACCAUUAUUAAAAAAAAAGGAUUAAAAUACACAUUUCAUUUAAAGAGUUGCAGCUUUACAUAAAGUGACCUUUUUUAGAUAAAGAGUUCCAUAAAGUCAUUGGACAAAAAAUCAUACACUAAGCUUGGGAAAUCAUAAUACACUGACCUCUAAAAAUUCCCAUUUUAUUUCUAUAUAUGCUUUUCGUUUUAAUCAGGCUUAUAUAUGAUGAUGACUCUUUUUUUGGAACUUUUUAUUUAAAUUUUCUAACAAUAUAAUAUAGUAUAUUUUUUAACUUUAUCCAAAACAGUAAAUUUAUAAUGAGAGGAGUAACACUGGCAGUAUAAAGUUUCAACCAUGAACUUUUUCUUUCUUGACUUGCCCUCUUUUUUCCAUUACCAAAGAAAAAAAGACUUGCCCUUUUUCUCUCUCCUUUUUCUUCUAUACUUUUAUAUUCUUCAAGUAGAUCUCUUUUCUCCCACUCCAUCAUCUAUGAACUUUUUUCCUCCCCUAUCUAGCCCCUCCACCCCCACCUCCAACCUCUACAACUCACUUUACACUUUUUUCCCUUUUAAAGUACACAUACAUAUACACAUCUCUACCUAUAUAUAUAUAUAUAAAUCAACUCCUUUGGCCUUAUAAGUUAAUUCCUCUCUACAUCAAACAUAUACAAACAUUCACUUGCCUCUACCCCCACCAAAGGCAUCAAGAAAAUAUGGCUCAAGUUCAAGAAAGUCCCAUCUCUCAAGGCAUCAAAUUGUUUGGUGCAACAAUACAAAUUCAAGAAAAACAAGCCAAAACUACUCAUCAACCAACAAACAAAGUUGUUGAUGAUGAUGAUAAUGAUAAUGAUCAAGAAAAAAGGCCAGACAAGAUCAUCCCUUGUCCUAGAUGCAAAAGCAUGGAAACCAAAUUUUGUUACUUCAACAACUACAAUGUUAACCAACCUAGACACUUCUGCAAAGGUUGUCAGAGAUACUGGACGGCCGGCGGAGCCCUACGGAACGUGCCCGUAGGAGCCGGCCGUCGCAAAGCCAAGCCACCAUGCGGGCCGGGCCCACAUGGCGACUUGGCCGGAUUAUCAGACGGUUGUAAUUUCUUUGAUGUGGCUAAUCAGCUUGACUUUGAUGGAGUGGUGGCUCAUGAAGAUCAAUGGCAUCUUUUUCCGGCAGCUAAGAGGAGGAGGAGCACCUCCGAUAGCCAAUCUUAUUGAUUCCCUCUUUGUCGUCUAGUGAUUAUAUAAAUUAUAUUCUAUGUACGUGGAAUUAGUAAAUUGUUAAAAAAAAAAAAAAAAAAAAAAACAUUUGCAGGCUGACUUUACUUCCUUGAUUGUAUAUACAAGCUGUCUUUAAUUAGUUAAACAAAGUUGUCUUAAUUAGUACUACGUUCUUAAUUAAGAAAUAUAGUACUAGUAUUAUUGAAAGUUGCACUGAUUUAUAUCUUAAUCAAUCAUGUUGAUCACGAGUUGAGGGACAAGAUAGCAUGCCACACAACCCAUCAUAAAAGGUCCGACAUACACUUGUUAUUAUCAUAUUGGUCCAAUAAUUGCAUGUCUCUUAUUUUUGGGGGACUUUAUUAUAAAUCUCUUCAUUUCAUUUUAUAUGGAGUAAUAUAUUUGAAUUGUAAAAAUAGGGUAUUAAUUAACUGGCUUAUUGGUCAUAAUCAGAAAAAAAAAAUAGUUGGAUAAAGAUACAUUGAUCACGUCAAAGAAAGUUUGAAUUCUUGAAAGUUUAUGAGUAUUGUAUAGAAAAGAAUAAUGUCAAAUAUUUCGCAAUUUACUGUAUAAAUUGUGGUGAAAUUGAGUAUUUUAUACAAAUAUAUAUAUAUAUAUCAAAUGUAUAUCAUAUGCACCUACGUGAAAAGAUACCUCGAAUGUAUACAUUAUUAAUAAGAGAAUAUAUAGUUGCAUUAUUGUUAAUUAAUUGGAUAUAUGCUAAUUAUAUUUGGCUAAAUAUAUAUGUAUAUGUAAGUAUACCUCUACGUGAAGACUAACGUAUAAGAAAUGAUAUGUAGAUGUGAAAACAAAUUCUGAGCCCUAAAACUGACUUAUAAUUGAGGACAAGUGCCCGAUAAUAAUGCAGUCUAGUGAUCAGUGAAGUGAUUGAAAAUCAUGGUACUUCAUAUGAUAGCAGGUGUGUUGCGUAGUUCUAAUAGUAUACAUUUGAGGCCAUAACUAUAUAUAGAUUAUGGAGUAUUUAAAAUAGACGUGAUACGUGGACAAGUUAGAUGUUGGCGUGUGGAAAAACAAAAGAAUGGUGAAUCAACUUCGAGGGUGAUCCAUAUCCUACUUAUGUGAUUACACUUAAUAGUUGAACAAGAAAUUAUUGCAAAAUUUGUAUAUAACAAGCACAGAAAAAUAUAAUUUAGUGUACGGUGGAUUUUUUUUCCAUUUUAAGAUACCAAGAAAUUGUUCUAAAACAUGUUGAUAACAAUUUUGAUAUAAUUGAUUCUAAAAAGUGCUAAAGACGAAUAAGGAAUUUUAAACCAGAGGGAAUAUUUCUUCUUUCUUGUUCAUGAUUUUUUUUUUAAGAAUAGUGGUGGAAUUGUUUCCGAUCCAAAAGUGACAUGAGUGUUAAAGAAUUAUUCCCAACUUCCAAAAUAUGCAUUAUUUCAAAUUUCUUACCUAUAUAUUCUCUCUUGAAGGUUUGAGGGGCCUAGACCUCGUAGGUGCUUACGAUGAAAUAGCGUCUAUCAAAUAUUUUUCGAUCAUAUUUUUUAUAAAAAAAUAACUAUUAUUGUAAAGUUUCAUGAAACUCUUUGAAAAAUUAUCAGCAAAAUUUGAAAUUCUAUGAUGAUAGCUUUGAUUAUUUAUUAUAUUUAGGGGAAUAAUCUUCCAACGGAAAUCCAAAAGAGGAUUUUUAUAAUUUAGGAAGAAAACGAAAUAACUGCACAUGUAUAGUUGUAGAAUAAAGAAAUACUGAAAUUCCAAUAAAGCCCCUCUAUACACCUCAUUCUUGUUUUUUUUUUUGGUCUAAAAUUAAUGCCUUCUAGAGCAUAUUUAGUUAUUUCAACCUUAAAGUAUUUCUUUUGUGUGAAUAGAAUCAGAAUUAGAUGCCACUUGAUGGUGGGUUUUAUUCACACAAAAUACAGUUUUAGCAGAAAAAUGUGGGAAAAAAGAGAAAAAAGAAGGUACCCUUACAAAACUAAACUAAAACUAAAAAAAAUAUUAAUAAUUGAAUCAACUUUCUAAUAACCUGAACAUUUAAAUAAUAAAAUCAACAAUUCAACAUGUUCCUAAAUUCAGAUCUCACUUUAUUCUAUCUACAGGAUAUUUUCAUGUGCUUAACAUAUUGAAAAUGAAGUAAUCCUAUAUGUGAUGAGAUGGUUCUGAGAUAGAUAAUCAAUCAAUAAUAAUAUACAAUAAUUGUAAUGAAUAUCCUAUAGUUUAAAUUUUCAAAAGAAGUGCAAACUUCGACGUUUCAGUACAUGUAUUGAUAAUUCAGGAUAUCUAUAUAUGAAAUUAAUCAGAAGCAUCAUAUUAUAAUUGGGCAAACUACAUAAAUCUCACUAGUUUAGGGUCCUAAUUACUAAGACUCCCAAUAGUUUCAAAUAUUACUUCCUCUACCAUAUUUCAUGCAGGAUACACGAGUUGAAAUCCGUGAGAUCCAUGUAUCUGUCAAAAUUUACAGCUGAGAUACGUAUUUUAUUUGUUUAAAUUAAUUGGUUGUAACUGAUUUCCUUAAUUAUAGAAGUAAUUAAGGAUUUUCAGAAUACAUGGACAAUUAUUUUUGAAAAUUUAAAUUAAUCAAAAUCCCUUAAUGUAAGGCGGAAAUCAAGGUAUGUUUAAUUAAUUUAAUUUUAUUAUUUUUUAAAAUAAUAAAUUUAUUAAUAUUAUUAAUAAAAGAUUAAAAAAAACAUUUAUAUAUUAGUCAUUUAAUUUGAUUAAUUUCAUUUUAUCACUCUUAAAAUAAUGAAUCCAUUAAUUUGAUGUAUCUAUUAUCAAAUAUAAAUAUAUGAUGUAUCCAAUCAACUAAACACUUAGAUACAUGAGCAUCAUACAUGUACAUCCAUAUGUAUCAUAGAAGUAUCUAGAUUUAUUUAAUGUAUUUGUUAUAUGUAUCUAGUAUUAAUUUCAUGUAUCUAUUUAUAUGANNNNNNNNNNNNNNNNNNNNNNNNNNNNNNNNNNNNNNNNNNNNNNNNNNNNNNNNNNNNNNNNNNNNNNNNNNNNNNNNNNNNNNNNNNNNNNNNNNNNNNNNNNNNNNNNNNNNNNNNNNNNNNNNNNNNNNNNNNNNNNNNNNNNNNNNNNNNNNNNNNNNNNNNNNNNNNNNNNNNNNNNNNNNNNNNNNNNNNNNNNNNNNNNNNNNNNNNNNNNNNNNNNNNNNNNNNNNNNNNNNNNNNNNNNNNNNNNNNNNNNNNNNNNNNNNNNNNNNNNNNNNNNNNNNNNNNNNNNNNNNNNNNNNNNNNNNNNNNNNNNNNNNNNNNNNNNNNNNNNNNNNNNNNNNNNNNNNNNNNNNNNNNNNNNNNNNNNNNNNNNNNNNNNNNNNNNNNNNNNNNNNNNNNNNNNNNNNNNNNNNNNNNNNNNNNNNNNNNNNNNNNNNNNNNNNNNNNNNNNNNNNNNNNNNNNNNNNNNNNNNNNNNNNNNNNNNNNNNNNNNNNNNNNNNNNNNNNNNNNNNNNNNNNNNNNNNNNNNNNNNNNNNNNNNNNNNNNNNNNNNNAUCUGUUUUGGGAUUGGGGAGGGAAACGGCUGAAAAGAAUAAAGAGAAAUUAAUUUGAAUUGUUAGUGUCCUACUAAUUGAGGAGACGUAAUUUUAAGAUAAUUAUACAUUAUCAUUUUUAAAGGGAUUGUGUAUCUGAUUUUUUUUUAAAUAUGAUAUAUUUUUUAAAAAGUGGUAUUCUAUGUAAUAUUUUUAAAGUAGAGAUAAAAUAUGUAUAUGUGGUAGUUAAGUAUGUCUAGAUAGGUAGUUUUUCCAUUAAUUUGAUUAGUCUAAUUUUCUUUAGCGCAUUAAUGAGAUCCAAUACUAGCCUGACCAAAAAAUCAUACAAAAGCCAGUAAUUUAAUCAUGGAAUAUAUAGAAUUCUGUGAAAAUAUAAUAAUCUAUACUUUCCCGUUCAAAAAUAAAUGGUACAGUACGUUCUAUCAAUUCAAUCUCGAAAAAUAAAAAGAAAGACUAUCUUUAAUUAGUUUCGUGAUAAUAAGGAAUAAAUUGCGCAUGUACACACUCUGUUGAGGGUAUUUUGGUAAGGAAACGUAGAGGGGCUGCUGUAUAUACUUGUACAUCACUAAUUUUUCUGCUGUUUAGAGUAAUUAUUGCUAUUCUGGGAUAAUCAGGAUAUACAUUACAAUCUUCUUUUGAGCUACUUACCAAAUUUACCCCGCAACUCUCAUUCUUGUGUCCUCCUUCUAUAAUUAUGCGGUAUUUUCCCAUGGAGUUGGUCAUGCCUGAUGAAUUCAACGUCUCUUUUUUAGUUUUGAGACGAUGGCACUGCAAUUGUACGCGUGCACCUACAUUUGAAUAGAAUUGAUUAAUGUCAGAUCUUGAAUUUUCGCCUUUAACAAUUCAUGAAUUUCAACAUACCUGGUAAAGGCUCACUAAGAUUGGAUUGAAAUGCAGAACGACAAGGAUCACAAUAGACACUUCCUUCUAUAAUGAUUACACGAUUUUUAAACCCCUCAAUAAUCACCAACAAGGACAAUAAACAAAUAACACUAGCAAUCAAGAUUACAUGAGCUGAUUUUCCCAUUUUAUGUCCUUUUGUUUUAAAAAUGUAUUCUCUAUAUUGUAUUUUGAAGUCUUUUCUUUUUAUAUAUAUAUAUAUACAUACUUGUAUUUUGGUAGUUACUUUAUUUGGUUAUUGUUGUGUUUUUGUGGUGAGGAAUUUUUUUGAUUUUACUUAAAAUAGUACAUCCAUUACUUUUUUUCUAGUUUAAAUGAAAAAAAAAUAGUUUUUUAAAAAGUACUACAUUAACUCCUACUUAGACUCUUUAUGUUAUUAUUUGUGUUUCUCUCGAACACACAGAUAAAUCAACAAAAUAUGUUGGUUAGUCAAGUCAGGUCCUGCUGAAAGUUCGGGAAAGAGUGGCUAUUAUAUCAAAAUUGAAUAACUAGCAAUAAUAAUUAGUAUAUGACCAAAUACCUUUAAUUAUGAAAUGAAUAAGAACCAAAAAUAUUAAAUUAAUUAAAAAAAUAAAUUAUUCUUACAUCUUAGAAGAAUCGGUCUCUAAAAUAAAUCUCAUGUAGCCAACACUCAAAUAUAAAGAAGAAAAACUCUCAAAUUGGAUUAAUAAUAAUAUCCUACCUUAAAUAACAAAAGAAUAUUCAUAAGAGGCUACAAGCACACAACUCUUUAAACCUAAAAUAAAAACAUAUAUGAUAAUCUUUCCUUUUUUAAAAAUUCGGAUAUCUGUUUAAAGUUUAGUUUUACGCCUCCAAUCUUGUAAAGCAAUGAAAGCAUGCCUCAUAAAUGCUAUAAACAACAUAUCAUGUGUUGGAGGUCGAACUCAAGAACCAAAUUAUAGCUCCCAACUCCCAACUAUAAAACCAUGCUCAAAGACAAUAUUUGCAUUUUUAGCUAUAAAAUCAUGAACUUGACAACUCUUUUCUCAAGUAUUGUGCUAAAGUUCAAACUCAUUGGAGAAACUCUAAUUGAUUGAGCUCAAUUGGCUGAUUGUAACUAACUCCUUCUAACUAAUUGAAGAUAGUUUGUUACAACUAAUCAAUACAAAAGGACUGAUCUACCCUUGAUCAUCUUAAUCGCCUUAACUAACUAACUUAACUACUUCAUUCUCAUAUCUCAUCAAUGACCACUAGAAAAUUAAAAAAAUAAAUCAAUGAAACAUAAAGUAAGGAACCAAAAAGAGGUAUUCUCUCUGUUUCAAUUAACUAGUUAUUUUAAAAAAAUUUGUCUCAUUUCUUUUUUCGGAAAUGUUUUCAAUCCAUUUUGAAAAAAAAUGUCUCUUUUUUCCCCCGAAAACUCUUUAAUUAACUUUUCAAAAUGACAUGUUCGAGACCACAUAAUUAAAAGGACAUUUUGAUACAUUUUAGUUUAAGAUUACAAGAUUUAAAGAUCUUCUUAACUUUGUUAAAUUUCGUAUCAAAUUAAAAUUAGAUAAAUAAAUUAGAACGGAAAAAUACCUGAUGAUGUUGCUGCUAAUAAUCGUGGUAUUUUUGGUUCACGAAUGAUGAUGGGUAUUUUAUAGUACUACGUACUUUUUCUUUUAAAGCUCCAAGGAAUAAAGUUUAGAAACCUCUCAAGCCUCAAAAUCAAAACUCAAACUAACACAAAAUUACAUAAAAAUGACCAUAUCGUCCUUAGUUAAAGUGUAUAUAUAUAGAUGUAAAAUUAAUGACACAUCAAAUAAAUUAAAUGUAGGACGACUUUUAGAACCUGUUUGGAUAGACUUGUUUUAAGCACUUUUCUAGCGUUUAUAAACGCUUGAUUUUAAACUAUAUGAUAAAAAUAAGCUAAAACUCAUAUGUUAGAGAUUUUAACUUAUGAAUCAAAAGUCGAUCCAAACAGACUCUUAAUCUUAUUGUAAUUCAAUUUAAAAUCCUUUAGGCCUGGUUAAUAUCUUUAAGUUCAGGGAGAUAUUCCAUUUCCUUGAAUUCUUGUUGACAUUCUGGUGCUGCUUUUUUGGUCAAGAAAAAGAGAGCAUUGGAUUCACGAUUCUUUCCAGCAAUGCCAUUGUUGCUAGUCAGUGUAACUCUUGAUGAUUCCUUGGUAUGUCCCUCAGUUGGGAUCUCACUGCAAUCUUCUUUUGGACUUUUUAUCAAAUAUGUCUCGCAGAUUUCGUUCUCAUGAUCACCUUCUAUCAACAUGUGGUAAUAUCCAGUGGAGUUAGUCGAAGCAGUCACAGUUAUUGUGACUUGUUCAGUUUCGGGGUGUCGGCAUUGCAUCCCCACCCUCGCAUCUGCACGUGUACGUACAAAUUAAAUAGUUUAGUGCAAAUCUAAACAUUACAAAUGAACUCAUUUAUUCACCAACAGAAAUUAUUAUUUUCGAGUCCAACUAUGAAUUUAUAUGCAAUUUCUUAUUAUUAUUAUUUUUAUCAGACUUUUAAGGUUUUUGUGCACUCCUUUUGAAAGACAUCUAUAGUUUGUUUAGAUUGGCUUUUAAAAAGAGUUUAUUUUUAUUUUUAUAGUAUUUCGGUUUUUAAAAAAAACAUAAAAAUUUAAACACUUGUUUUUAAAUAAAAAAAGACAAAAAAAUAAGGCAGAAAUCUAUAAGUCCUUCCGAAUAAGGUCUUAAUAGCUUUAAUAAUUUUAAUCGGAAUGUAUAUCUUGAGAUUAUAAUUAGAAUGAACUAAAAUUUUCUACCUACUAAUUUAUUAUAUACUCCAUCUGUCCUUAAUUACUUGUCCACUUUUGAAUUGACACACCUAUUAAGAAAACAAUGAUUGACAUAGUGAAUUUACCAUUUUACCUCUAUUAAUUAUGAAGUGGAUGAAUUAAAAACUUAAAAUUUUCAAGAAGUUCUAUAUUUUUCAAAGUAAUUAAUUGAAGAUAUAAUAGGUAAAAAAAAUCGUCCUUUCUUGAUUUGUCAAAAUAGACAAGUAAUUAGGGACAACUAAAAAAGGAAAAAUGGACAAGUAAUUAGGAACAAAUGGAGUAUAUGAUAGAUAAUCUUAGGAUCCUGGUAUAAUUUUUUUCCUAAUUUUAGGUAAUAACCUCAACCAAACACAAAAUAAAUUUAAAUUCAAAAUUUUCAUUGGACAACUCAAUUAAUCCAUCAAAACAAACAACCUUUUAGACUAGUUGCCUUAAUUACCUUUUAUCUCUUUCAAAAAGUCGUGUGUUUGUAUGAAGGAAAAUAUUUUAUUUUUUUUGAAUUAUCUCUAGAAAAAUAAGCUCCUUAAUGAGGAAAAUGACUUUCUUAAUGAAAAUAAAGAAACAAGUUCUCUCCACCCUACCCACCUAACGUUCCCAACCCCCAUCCUUUGACUCUUCCACCCCAAACCCACAAUCCGCACCCCAUCAUAAUAUUUUGCUAACUUACCUAUAAAUGCUCUUAAAAUAAUAUUUUCGUACCAAAUGUACUCUCAAGUAAUUGAUCCAAUAAUAAUGAUAUUAUUUGAAAAAAAAUAUACCUGAAACUGGCUCACUAAGAGUGGUUUUGAAUAUUGAACGACAAGGAUCACAAUACACAAUUCCUUCAAGAAUAAAUUGAUAAUUAUCAGAUUCUUCAUUGGCUUGAGUAAUCCCUAAUAGGGAGAACAAGCAGAUAGCACUAGCAAUAAAGAUUAUUGUUGAUUUUCCCAUUUUUCUUCCUUCUUUUUCUUUCUUUUUUUCUAAAAUAUAUAUUUUUGGCCUUUCUUUGUUUCUUUCUGCAGGUUGCAAAAUCGAAGUUAGAAAGCACCUUUUUUUUGUUUGUCAAAGUAUGGAACCUACAAUCUUGAAGGAAUGCUUUAUAUAUACUUUUAUUAUUCUGGCAGUUAUUUUUUAUUAGGUUGUUAUUUAACUGUAGUCGUUUUGUGGUAAAGAAUUUUUUUUUUUUUUAAAAAUAAUUUCCAAUGGAAGAUAAAAAAGGCAUUCCUCCUAUUUUAACUCUUGUUCUUUAAUUUUUGUUUCCCUAUUUCUCUCCCUUAUACACAAAAAGUAAAAUAAAAAAUCAAAUCAAUGUUUUAUGUUAGUCUAGUCAUAUGCUAAAAGACCAAGGAAAUAAUUCAAGUUUAUUAACUUCAUUUCAAAUAAAUUCAACAGAAAAUUUAGGAAAAUUAAAGUAUACAAUAAUUAACUUAAGAGUAAUUUACCAAAAUAUUUACUAAAUUAUCCUUAAUUAAAUUGUAGUAAGUAGAGUAUCAAUUUAAUCCUUCUUUACAAAUUCACAUACUUGAAACAUGUCUUUUAAUCAUCAUGAUUUUUUUUUAUUUUCUUUAAAAAAGAGUAUAGGUAAAAAGAAUAUAAAGAGGAUUAAAAAGAUAAAAAAAUUGAAUUACUAGACGAAAAUUCACAUAGUCAACCAAAACUAAGUUACUAAAAUGUAAAAAUUAUUCCAACAUUUUUUGUGAGCUACUGGCCUUGUUGCUUCAGUAUUUUUUUUGGUUUCUCAUUCGGUGUUCGGAGCCUAUUUUGGAGUCUCGACUAAAUUCAAAUCGUGCAUUAUAGAGCUUAUUUGGAAGUGGUGCUUGCAAAAAAAGAUUUUUUUUCCAUAUGGAAGGCUGAAGAACUUCUUAUUAAGGUGAAAUACUCUCACCACUACGCCACGACCCAUGUUGGUUGUUGCUUGGCCUUGUGGUAACAAUCACACAGAUAGGUUAAGAUAGGUGGAGAGGAGAGUUACAAUUAUGGGCCUUGUAAGAAAAGAAAAAACAACAAAAAUGGAAUUAGGAAAACGCCAACUACCCCUUUUUAGCUCUUUCUGAGUAGAAGAAGCUUCGUUGAGUUCAACAUCAAUGUCUAGUAAAAAGCAGAGGAGGAUGUUGAAAGUAAGGAAAAAUGGUGGGUGUGAUGUUGACAUAACACACUCUGCUUAGAUUGAUUUGCGCGGAGGAAAAGGAAAACAACAAAGACAAUCCCCAAAGGGUCCUCUUCUCUUUCUACACUUGUUGGGUUAUCCCAUAGCCAUAUAUAGCCAUAUAUAUGGCGUCAUCAGCGACAUUACUUCAUCAUUAUUCUCCUCGCCCUUCUAUCUCUUCCAAUUCUUCUUCUUCUUCUUCAUCAUCUUCUGCUUCUUCUUCGUCAUCUUCUUCCUCUUUUGAUCAACGACGAUGCUUUAAUUGGAAAUUUCUCUGCUUUUCUGGUAAAUCUUUUAAUUUCUCUCUCUCGCUCGCUUUUUUGACUUUGCAAAUUGAUCCAACUUCGAUUUUUUUGUCUAUUGAAUUGAAAUUGAGUUAACCCCUUUGUCUAUUGAAUUGAAAUUUGUGCCAAUUUUGGAUCUUUUCUAUUUUAAUUAGUAGAUUAAUUGAUUCUUGAUGUGAUUUGUUUGAUUUAUCUAGAAAAAGAAGUUAGGGAUGUUUUCAGUGCAUAUUGUUUGGAUUGGUGGUUGAAUACUGAAGUUAAUUGUAAUGCAGAUGGAUAGAAAUGCUAAAAUACACAAAUUAAACCCUUUCUUUCAUUGAGCAAUUUGAUUUUAUCUCAAAGUAGAGUGUGAAAAAAAAGGAGCAGCUAGUAGAUAUUUACAUGUCAGUUAUGGAACAAUUAUCACUGAAUCGAAUAGUUCUAGAUUGAUUUUUCCUGUUCUUAUGGAUUGUUGGAGUUGUCUAAUGUGAAAGAGGGACUGUCAUUCUGCAAAUUGUAGUGAUAGUUGACUGCUACUCACAUAUAUAUCCAUUCUAAGUUUGUAAUCCGAUAACAGAUAUAACUUGAGCCUUUUGUUCCCGCUUGUCAUUUGGAUUUGCCAUCUUCUUAAGGUUUCUUUUUUUGGAUACUUCUAUUGCUAAGGAAAUGAAAGGGAAGUCGUAUUUUAUACUAGCUUCUCGAUUCUAAAGCGAGAGAACCUUGCACAGGACAUUUAGUUGGUUACUUACUGUAGAAAUCACUUUAGAAAUGGCUUUAUGUGCGUCCAGGCCUAACUUGGAUAGGAUUGAACUGACCAUGAGCUUGCAACUAUUGGAGACUGCAAUGUAAUUAACUUUCCAAUCAAAUAUUUGGGGCUCCUGCUAGGGGAAGGUUCAAUUGGGGAAAAUGUGGUGACCGGUGGUUCAGAAUUUUGGGGUAGAAGAAAAUCUACUUAUAAAACGUUGGAUAAGAUCAUUUUGAUAAAGGCAACAUUAUCAAAUACCAACCCACGUCAUAUCCUCAUUUCUUAUCUUUGUUUCAGUUAGUAAGAGAUUGGAGAAAUUAAUGAUAACUUUUCUCUGGGAUCUUGCAAAAGAGAAAAGAAAGUACCAUCUUGUGAAUUGGGAAAGGGGUAUGACCCCAUUGAAAGUAGUGGGGGUUGGGAAAACGAAUGCUAGAUAUCUUAAACAGAUCAUUGUCGCGAAAAUUGUUCUGGAGGUUUGCCAACAAAGGGGGAGCCAUGUGGAAGAUUGUCAUAAAUAAGGUGGUGACCAAUAUCAGUGGCUAGUGAAGGAAGUAACGUCAUCUUAUAGGAAAAAUCUGUGGAAGGAAUGAAGGACAAGAUGGACUUUUGCAAAGUUUAUCGAAUUCCAAAUCAGAAAUAUGAAUCCACUUCAGUUCUGGCUAAACCUCUAAUGUGGGAUAACACUUUGAAAGAUGACUUCCUACCCCUGGCUGGCAACAAGGAGGUUGUAGUAGCUGAGAUCCUUGAAAUGACACACACAUUUGUUUUGGAAUGUAGCUUCUAAAGGACCACUGCAGUAUUGAGAAUAUGACAAGGUGAACUGUUUCUACUGAGGUUGUGUAUUCACUCAUAAUACAGGAAAACAGGUGGUAUGAUUUGAGAGGGAUACCUUGGAAGCACUGCAUUGUCAAACCCUAUUAUAGGUACUGAAUCAGAGAAGGGGAGCUCGAGCUCAAAAGCCAGACGUUUGUGGAGAGGUUUAUGAAAGACAAGGCAGCAAAGAAGAUGUCAUUUUUAUCAAGUUAUGCAACUUAAGAAGCAAUAUUGGCCAUGACCAAUAAAAAGAGAGAUUGUAUAGCAGUGUUAUCAAAAGCAAAAAGGACAAAAAAGCUCUAAGGUCCAUUGUGCCUUUAAGCGCAAAUAAAAUGUGGGUUUAAAAGAAAAAAGGUGCAAGGGGAGAAACAAGAAAAAUACAUACUCCACCUGUCCCAAUUUAUGUGACACACUUUCGUUUUUAGUUGGUCCCAAAAAGAAUGAUACAUUUUCAUAUUUAGUAUUAAUUUAACUUUAAAAUAUCCAUUUUACCCUUAAUGAGAUAUCUAUGACUUGUUUUUAAAUCACAAAUUUCAAAAGUCUUUCUUUCAUUCUUAAACUCCAUGCCAAGUCAAAGAACAUCACAUAGAUUGGGAUGGAGGGAAUUUAUAUAUGUUUAGUCCAAGACUAAUGAUUAUAAGCAUGAAUGGCAAAUAUAUGUUGUACUUUUGCAAAGACACUUACCCUCCCCAUACCUCACUUGUGGGAUACACUGUGGGAUACACUGGGUAUGUUGUUGUACUUUUGCAAAGACAACACUUUUUUGAUGCAUUGUUUAUGCAAUUUUUGGGAAAAAAAGGUCUAGGCAUAGAGAUAGUUACAUGAUAAUUUUCUAAGUCACCAAAUUCUUAAUUAUAGACUGACAUAUUAUCCAAAUUUUAGUCAACAUUUAAAAGAAUUUCAAAGUUGGAAUAUUUUAGGAUGUAUAGGAUGGACAAUUCAAGGUGUAAGGUGGCAAACAACUCAAGGUGUAAAGCGUGAAAGGGGUGAACAACUAAGGCGUAAAGAGUGCAAUGGAUUUUGUGCGAAUAUUAGCUUCACCUUUGAGACAUUGGUCAGCACAUAGGUAAUUAUGCUAUUGUUUAAUCAACUGGUGAGAAGGAUAUAUUUUAGUCUUUGCCAUAUUGCUUGUGCUUAUAUAAUUGGAGCUGUUAGUUGCUUCUAUCCAAUCCCUUACCUGAGGUUGCAAUUUUAAUUGCUCCAUCUUACGUAUACUACACUCAUUAGGGUUGAAACUGCUCCAAUUUUUAUUUUUUUGAUUUCCUGUUCCCCUUGAAGUUAUCACUAUUUCACCAACUCUUAGACUGAAGUCUGCUUUUUAGACAAAUCAAUACUGUUUGUUCAGUGAUUAUAUUCCAGGCUAGAGCCAUAGAAUCUGCUCUCCUUUCUCCUGGUGGAUUGUGCAGUUGGAAACGAUUUCAUUAAGUUUUAUGUCAUUUAUGCUAUUGUAGUGCCCUUGGUGAACAGGUUUUGUCUCCUCUCUAAUUGCAGUCAACUGUUUUCUGAAUUUUGAAUAGCCACGUAGUAUAUCUGAGUUAGUACAUAGUUUCUUGCGUUCUUCUGCAAAAUCCUUAUUGUUGCUUACACUUCAAAUGUCUUGGCAAGUAUAAACCCAUUUUUUUAAUUUUUUUUUUUGUAAAUUGUUUCUCUGAGGAUUUUGUCUGCCCAUCUGCAGGGAUAAACAACAUCUGUAGAAGUCAAAGCUUUAGAGCCCAUGCAAUGGGUACAACUGAAGGAAGUGUUAUGUCUCCGAAAGUCUUGACAGAUACGGGGGAUGAACCUGAACAUCUUCUAGUCCUUGUUCAUGGCAUCUUAGCAAGGUAGGGAGCUUUGUUUACUUAUCCUGAAGGAUGCUUUCACGUGUCUACAAACUUUAUAUACAUGUGUGUAGAUAUAAUAUGUAUGUACAUGCAAUUGAAAAGGCUACAGUUGACUCCUCUGAGGUGGUUGGGGUUUACCCACUACAACAACAUACCCAGUGUAAUCUCCCAAGUGGGGUCUGGAGAGUUAGGAUGUACAUACUUCACCCCUACCUUAAUGGGGUAGAGAGGCUGUUUCUGAUGGGGUUUACCAUAUUAAAAAAAGGAGUUUCAAUCUGAAUGGAGUAAAAAAGUGCCUGUUGGUCUUUCCUCUAUUUUUGCAGGGCUGUUGAUUUGAGUAGUCAAUUUUCCUGUAGUCAACCAUGCUCAAACCUUGACUUUCUAAGUGCUCAAGCAAGGAAAAGCUUUAACAUUGAGAAAACAUUAUGAUCAGAACCAAUAACAUUUUAUUUUUUAUGUGACCUUUGGUAUGUAAAUAUUAUGUUCGAGUAGUAGUGCUAUCCCGAGGUUAGGUUUAAGAGGUCUUACAUUCUCACUUUCAACACACAUCACAUGGUUGGAACAUCUCUUUUUCCCAGAGUACGAAACUUGACCUGAGAAAAUCUCCAGGUGACAUACAUGUCUAUAUCCGUUUAUCACUUUUAUAUUUCGCCCUUGAACCUUUUUCCAUGUUCUUGAGGUUGAUUUACUUUCUAUUCCAUGAUCUGGUUGUCAAGGGUUGUGUCUGAUAUUUGUGUAUGGGCACCGUCUUAAUUGCUGAUAUAUCACCCAUAUCAGUCAAUUAAGUACGCCUCAACCCCAAAUAAAUGUUCAUAUCUUCCAUAGUAAAAAAAUUCUUCCUGAAAAUUAGCAUGCUGCUGUUUGCAUCACUGAUCUUUCCAAAGAAUGCAGCCCAAGUGACUGGACGUAUGUACAAGCAGAGUUGAGAAGGCGGUUGGGAAGAAACUUUUUGAUAUAUGGUACAUUUUUUAGUGAAACUUAUCCUUAUAUUCUCAUGAAUUUAUUUUUUAAUUUUCUAGGUUUUUCUUCCUUCAAUUUUGCAUGCUACACCAAGAAAGUAAAUGCUUAUAUUCGAAUUCCAAGAAGCUAUCUGACUUUCUUUUUGUGGCGUUCAGCAAGUUCAUGUAAUACGUUCACUAAAACCUUCACUGGGAUUGAUGGAGCUGGGAAACGACUAGCAGAUGAAGUGAGUAUGUAAAAGAGGUCACUGUGCUGUAUAGUUGCGAGUCUGGUGCUACUGUGUGGUCUCAUGGUGUAGGAAAGGUGGCUAUAUUUUUCUUGUUUGGUUGGGGCAGAAAUAUGAUGCUACUAAGCUUUUUUAUUUUUAGUUCUCUUUUAGGUUAACUUGUUUUUUUUUUUUUUUAAUUUGUAUGGUUAGCGUUGGUUUUUGGUUAUGGCAAUACUCUAUUCAAAGCAAUAAAACCCUGACAGGUAGGUAUAUCCUACGGUGGUACUUGCUGUUUAAGAAGUGUAGGUCAAUCUUGUCUUGCUGUUUUGCAGCAUGUGAAUAAAAUUUCAGCUCAGUACAAUAUUUGCUGAAAGAUGUCCAGCUUUUCCAUCAGUGCAUCACAUAUAGAUUUUUCUAAUUGUCUAAAGUUGGCCUCUAUAUACCUUAUACUUCAUAUGCAUAUUUCCAACAUAAUUAAAUAAUUUUUUUUGUCAAAAGCUAGUUGUUUCGGCCUGCAUUCUGUAUUCGUCUCAGAAACUCCAAUUAUGUCAAGGAAGUAUAUGAAUGGUCAAAUUUCACCUUUUUUUACCAAAUCCAAAAAAAGAAAAGUUUAUGAAUGGUCAAAUAGUUUCCAGCCACACACUUCUGACAUGAAAACAUAACCCUCUUGAACCCGUGCUUAUUUGGUGGCUACUUUCAAGUUUCCAAUAUAUAGGUUGUGCUUACAAAGUGAAAUUAUGAACGCUCAUCUUCCUUAUUUUGAACUUUUGAUUAUGAACAGGUCAGGCUGGUUGUAAAGAAGAAAGAAAGCCUGAAGAAGAUAUCCUUUUUAGCUCAUUCUCUUGGUGGAUUGAUUGCAAGAUAUGCACUUGGCGAACUUUAUUCAUCAGACAACUGUAAUGAGCAGUCCAAUGAUGCAGUCACUUCAACUAGUGCAAACCUCAAACCAGUAGGCUCCUUAGAUAUAGGAUUGAUUGCUGGCCUGGAGCCAGUCAAUUUUAUCACCUUGGCAACACCACAUCUUGGUGUGAGAGGGAAAAAUCAGGUCUGUUCUCAUGGUACAAUCUUAUCACUUAUGCAUCAAAAAUCUUAUCUCAGUGUUUCUUAAAUGGGAUGUUAUCGCCCUUUUUAAUAAAAGUAAUUUACCUUUACCUACUAUACUUGUCCUUAAAAAGUAACUAGAUUAUGUCCAUUACAAUACCUUGUUUUUAGGGAUUCAGUUGUUUUUAUAUCCUAUUUUCUUGCUUUUAAAUGUGUAAAUCUCGUAAUGGAGUCUCUACCUGGAAAUUCUGAAACUUGAGUGGAAUAGUGGGUGCCAGUGGAGUAAAAACUUUAAAAACGCUUGUAUUAGUUCUAACUUAGAUGUUAAAAUGGUAUCUUAUUUGUAAAUUGUUGUGCUCGGGUACCUCAUGCACAUCUAUAACAGAGUGCAUUCAGUCAUUUGUUUUUUUGGGGCAUUUACGUAGUUUCUAUACGAAUGUCUAAUAGCAGUCAUCGUUUCAUUUGACACGUCUUAAUAUGUUUGAUACCAUUCUAUUCUACAUAAAUUUCACAACCUUCGAAGUUCAAAUUUAUCAGUUAAUUCAAAUUUUAAAUUUGAGAUAUGUGAUCUCUGUGCUCUUAACUUUUUCAAAAUUUUCCGUCGUUGAUGUAAUACAUACAAGUCAAAGUAGUGUAAUAAAUUUUGGACCCCGAGUCCAUUAAAAUACCAUUAUGUAAAAUGGGACAGAGGCGAGGGGGUAAAAUUUUGUGAAUUCUUCGUAAGAGUAAAGGCUUAGUGUGAAAUACUAGAAAAGUUGAUAUCAUCAGUUUUUAUUGUGUGCUUUAUGAGGAUAAAAGGAUAGAAGCCUGUAGAUAUGCACGGCUGUGAAAAAGCUUUUUGCUUGGCAUGCAACUGCUGGAAAUUUUUGUAGUCUUCAUCAUCUUUGCAGAAUAUCCAAAAGAUACUUGCUACUCCUAUUUUACUUCUGUGUGGAUCCUUCCUUUAAUUGGUGCACAAAUCUUAACAGGUAUCAAUGAAAUGGCCAAAAGAACUUUUCAUUUACUAUAUUUUAAUAUCUUUUUCCCUUAUCAAAUGUUGUUUUAAAUAAGAGCACCAUUUUAAGAGAAAGUUGGAAAUUUAUAUUGUUUAAUAUUGAAUGAGAGAAACUAUGCCAGUACUUAUUUACUUAAAUAAAUUAUACAAGUGUUGAUCAAUAUUUACAAGUCAAGAAAAUGAAACAUAACACAUUCUAUUUCACUAAAGCAAAUAUCAGGAAAGAAAAGAACCAUGAAUUAAACAUUAAGCCACAUGGUAUAGCAAAAAACAAAUGCCUUACCAGGCUGUCAAUAAGUUCUGUGUCAACAAACCUGAAGCCAGUUAGUCUGAGCUCAUAUUAUCUUAGGUAUAAGAGGAUAUCAUAAUUUGGGACAUUAAUGUUAGGUUGAAUGAGUCGCUAAGUGUUUUCUUGAAUCAGUUUAAACCAUAAUGUGUUUAAAUUCUCAGAAUUUGGAUGGUAUGUUAUUAUUAAUAGCUUAUCUUGAAAAAAAGUGUUAUGAUCACUUCGUAACGGCCCCUGACAUCAGGACAGUUGAUUAGCUUUUACUUUUCAGCUUCCUUUUCUCUUUGGGUUGCCAAUCUUGGAGAAACUUGCAGCACCUAUAGCUCCUAUAUUUGUUGGUCAAACUGGUAGUCAGCUCUUCCUUACAGAUGGCAAACCUACUAAACCACCUCUUUUGUUAAGGAUGGCAUCAGACUGUGAUGAUGGAAAAUUUAUGUGAGUAGAAAUAUCUCCACCAGUCCUUGAAGCAGCUGUUUCUCCAUGCCUUUCUUUUUACCUUAUGCCUGGAGUUUCCUUAUUGCAGAUCAGCGCUUGGUGCUUUCAAAUGGCGUGUUCUUUAUGCUAAUGUCUCUUAUGAUCGUAUCCUGUUGGAUCUCAUUUGUUGUUUCUUCAUUUAAUUAGCAAAAUUAAUUCAUUGAUAAAGUUCAUUCCAGUGCUUCUUCUCUCAAUAUUUUGAAGUGAUUGCAGUGGUUUCUUGACAUUAUCUAGAUAUGGUCGGUUGGCGUACAUCAUCUAUAAGAAGGGUGACAGAACUUGUCAAGGUGAUUUGUGAUUUACUAUUCAUUUGUUACUUUAAUUGUCCAUAAAUAUAGGUCUGUGAAUGUUGACAUUUAGUCAAGAUAAAAACAGAAAAGGACAUUCAAGUAUAAUUCGUUUGGCUAAGCACGAUUUACUCAAGGGUCCCGAUCUAAAGUUUAUUCGUCCAGAUCUAAUUGACAUUCCUGCGAAGAGGUAUUGGGACAAUAUGAGAACUGAGUUUUUUUUUUUAAAAAAAAAAAAGAGAACUGCAAUUUGAAUAAGCCAGAACAAUAGGAAGUACAAAGUAAUAUUUGCAAUGAGAACUGCAAGAAUGCCCUAUAUCAGAACUAUUAAUUAGUUUCAUUUUGUUUGUACAAUAAUUAAAACUUAAAGGUAUAUCAGAUAUGAGAUGAAAUAGCUUGAGUACCAUACACUGCCUUGUAGUAGGUGAACCUAAACCGGAAAAUUUCUCUAUCAACUUUUCUUCUACUGGAACCUUCGGUUUUAAUGUUGCUUAGACAAUAAUGAAAACUUAAAAGGCAUAUGCACAUAACCUGCACAUGGGUAGGUAAUCAUCUCUCCAUCCAUGAUAGCAUGUAACUUGCCUAUAUAAGUUUUCUUUGUUGGGGAUUAGACAAUAGAAAUUACUUUGACACUUCAUUUGCAUCUUCUCUUGAAACAAAAAAGAAACCUUGAUUUUAUGUUUGGUGUACUGAAAUUAGAAUUUAGAAACUGUUACAGGUUUUAGACCUUUACUUGUAUACAAGCUUCCUUGUUUGGGAAAUUUGAUUUCUCAAAGUUACACUAUGUUAAGAAUGUGCCACCAAGACUUACCCUUCGGUGUGGCCCAGUGGUUUGGGCUUGGGACUUCCAUGUUGGAGGUCUCAAGUUCGAAACCCCUUGCCAGCGAAAGCAAGAGCUUUACCUUCUGGGUCGAGCUCGUCGCACCGGGCUUGCGUAGUGCGGGUUGCCUCUCCAGUGUGGUUUGCGAGCUAUUGCAUAGGAGCGGGGGUUUUACCCUGUGCACACCCAAAGGGUAGCGGCUGCGGGUUUUCCUUGUCUUAAAAAAUAAAUAAAAAAAUGUGCCACCAAGACUCAAGGUAAGUUUUAUAAAGUGGUUGUUAGACCAGUUAUGUUGUAUGGGGCGGAGUGUUGGCCAGUAAAGAACACACUUCCAAAAGAUGGGAGUAACGGAAAUGAGGAUGUUGAGAUGGAUAUGUGGACAUAGUAGGAGAGAUAAGAUUAGAAACGAAGAUAUUCGAGACAAAAUGGGAGUGAACUUCGUGGUGGACAAGAUGAGCGAGGCGAAGUUGAGAUUGUUAGGACAUGUAAAGAGGAGAUGCAUAAAUGUCCUAGUGAGUAGGUGUGAGAGGUUGGCUAUGGUGGGUAUGAGGAGAGGUAGAGGUAGGCCGAAGAAGUAUUGGGGAUAGUUGAUUAGAUAGGACAUGAUACACCUGCAAGCUGAUUAGAUAGGACAUGAUACACCUGCAGUUGAUCAGAUAGGACAUGAUACACCUGCAGUUGAUUAGAUAGGACAUAAGUCGAGCAUUGUCUACUUAUCCUUAUCAGUAUUAUUAUUAAUAUUCUCCUACUAUCUUAUUCUUCAAGUUUACUAUUACUUGUUGUUUCCUUCGCUUCAGUAUCGUAUUAUUUGUUGUCGCUACAAUUCUUUCCCCAUUAUUUUCUACAUGACUUCUUCACUACUUCACUACUGUAUUUCCUUUGCUUACUGAUUUUGAUAUGUUUUUCUUGAGCCGGGGGUCUAUCUGAAAUAACCUCUCUGCCUUCAUAAGGUAGGAGUAAGGUUGCGUACACACCACCCUCCCCAGACCCCACUUGUGGGAUUACAUUGGGUAUGUAGUUGUUACAAUAUUUUAAGUUAGAAUUACUUGGUAGUUUUCCAGAGAUGAAAUGAACUUAUAUGAUGGUGAGUUACUGUAUGUCCCGGAUGAAAGAAUGACUUUACUUUGAAUGAAAAGAAGAAGUAUUUAAUUUAUUGUUUUAGCCCUGGAAAAAAGUCUGUUGUAGUUGCCUACUGUCAGGCGAAGGAUGAGAUGCAAUUGAUCUUUACAUUGAGGGAGCUGUUCAGUUCUCCUCAACUGGCACUUCAAAUUAUGAUUCUCAGCACAGUUAUUCAAUGACUUAUAAGUCUCUUUUUUCUUCAUUCCCUAAAUGAGGAAGUGUAUACUUUAUGCAACUGACACUGAUAUCCUUUAGUAAAUGGCAAAAGAAUAGUUCACACUGUGCUCAUUUUAUGGCUGGAUAUGUCUUAUUAGUCUUCAUUUCUAAGUAUCUGCUGUGUCAUGCAUGCAUACUUGUGAUUCUCAUAGUUGGAUGAAUAUAAUACUCAUAAAAGCAUGGUAUCAUGAAAUCUUAUUCAUUAGCAGGAUUUUAGCUGUAGAACUUUGAAAAAUAACGAUCUGGAAACAGAGUUUUCUCCUAGGAGUUCAUUACACAACGAUUUUGUUUGUGUACAAUUCUAAAAUUUUAUUGAAAUGGCAGCCCCCUUGGCGAUCUUUGGAUGGCUACAAACAUGUAGUAGAUGUGGAGUAUUGUCCUCCAGCUUCAUGCGAAGGACCUCAUUACCCCUUAGAGGCAGCCAAAGCAAAGGAGGCAGCCCAAAAUGCACCAAGCACACAGAGGACAUUAAAAUAUCAUGAAAGUAUGGAAGGUAAUAGUACUAAUAGAGCUGUUUCUGUUUGUUGCAAUGAAUCUCAAUGCCACUAUCUCUAUAUCAUACUAGAAUCUUACUACUCUUUUCGAACAGAGGAAAUGAUACGUGGCUUGCAACAGUUGGGGUGGAAAAAAAUUGAUGUUAGCUUUCACUCAGCGUUCUGGCCCUUUUUUGCACAUAACAAUAUCCAUGUAAGUUCCUUCCAUAUUCCAUUUCCUUAUGUUCCUCCCUGUCUGGGUUCUAAUUCGAUCACUAUUUUCUGGUGACAGGUGAAGAAUGAGUUUUUUCACAAUGCUGGAGUAGGAGUAAUUGCUCAUGUCGCAGACCACAUAAAGCAACAAGAGAAGCAACCUGAAUCUUCCUCCUUAAUUACCCCUAGCUUGUAACUCAUAUAGUUGUACAGAAAGCAAUCCAGCAUACAUUUAAAUGAAAUCAAAACGCUAUAAUUGAUUGGAAAUGUAUAUUUUUCUGAACACUACUGGUUUACUUGGUUAUAAGCCAGGUUUUUCGUUAAGCAUAUUCAAGAUAUAUGUAUAGUGAUAUGAUUUUUGGUGAAGGGUGUUUAAUUGACCACCCUUUGCUCCGUCACCAGUUUCAAUAGGAAGACUGUUGAUGUUAGCAUUGUACCCUGUAUUGGUUGUUAUCUAUGACAUAUUAUGUGAUUUGCUCUUUUCCGUGUUCGAAAGGUAAAGUAAAUUGAAGUACAAUAGUGUGACAAUAUAAAGGGAAAAAAAUACAUAUAUAAAUUUAAAUUUGGAUAAUGCAAGCAAAAGAACACAUCUAUCGUACAACUUGAUUCUGAUUUCAUUGUAGCAAAUGAAACAUAUAUAUAGGGAAAAGUAGAGACAAAAAGAGAGCAAACAGAGAAUUGCAGAACCCCCUAAUGAGCAUAUUUAAUUUUACUUCAAAUCACAUUAUAGAACAACCAGUUGCAUUGUCAUCGCUAAACAUGUGCCUGGUUCGUUCAUCGAAAAUGGUAUUGUAAGGUAGCUCUGCAUAGGAACCGUGAGCAUGGCCAUUGUAGCCAUGCACGCGGUAGUUGUAGGAAGAAGGCGGGGCAUAGUAAGUGCCCGGCCUGCUGUAGAAUGUAUCAUAAUAGUAAUGAUGCAUAUAGUUAUGGUAUUCAGGAUUGUAUGGAUAUGGCCAUAGUUCAGCUCUCUUUCCAGUUUUUCUCACUGUUUUGAGGAUUUUUUUCUGAUCUGCCCACCCUGUUACUGUCACCUUUUGCAUGUUCAUGUCUAUGUCAAUGUUGUCCACUCCUGUGAAUACCGAAAAUGAAACAAAAGUAUAUUCAAGGGUUUUGUAACAAAUCAAUUACUCUAUUUUUUAACAAUACCAGAAGUUGUUAUACAAUAGUUGGAAAAAAAUAGUAUUUUCCCAGAAGCAUGUUUCGAGUCUUGGCCAAGCACAAAUUGUUAAUUCUAAUAUUAACUAAGUAUUUUCGAAUUGAUUAAUCAAACCCCUAGUAUUUCAAACUACUCUUACAUUUGAGAAAACAAAUUAAUAGAAUAAGGAUAAAAAAAAAAGGAUCAAUUCUUCAAAUCAUAUUAAUAUUUAAUGAGUUAGGUCCCAAGAAUUAUUGGGUAAUGAGAAAAAUCCAUUCCAUAUCCAAGCAAUAAGCAUAGAGAGUUGGAGACAGAAAAAAAUUCACCAGCUGUGUGAAUGACGACUUUGGUCAUAUGCCUAUUUGGUGGAUAUAUAAUAAUUUAAAUUUCCAACUAAAAGUUGUAAGAAAAUUAUUUUAUAGGAAAAGAUCAUUGUAUAAGAUAUGCUUUCAUAUUUAUUAUAAUUCUAUUACAAAGCUGGGCAGGGUUGUCUUAUAAAAAAAAAUCUAAAUAAAAGGUAUUGUGAUAUACAAUACUAUUGAAAAAUAAGGACUUAGCAACGGGCAAAAUUUAUAGCUAAACAACAAAAAAUUUAUGCUAAUUUCAUUUAGUUAUAAGUUAGGACGGAUUUUAAGAACAUUCAUAUAGCUUAGAAUCUAUUUAGCUACGAAUUAGCUAAAGAAUACCCACAAAUUCAGUAGCUAAUUCUAUGUUUCUAAAAAGAAAUUAAUACCAACCACGAAGCUUCUUGAGAGCCUUUCUUAUUUUGCUUUCGCAUCCUUGACAAUCCAUGUGCACUCUCAUUUCCACAAUCUAAAAUGAAUAAUGUAUAACUUAUUAUACGAUCGUCUCGUUAUAUUUAAAAUAUUUACACAAUCAAAUUAUAUAUGGUAAAAUUAUCGAUAAAUUUAUAUUAUAAAAAUUGAUUAUAACUAAUCUGCCAUCACAUAUUAUAAUAAAAAUAUAAUUUAAAUUGUUUAAUUUGUAUCAUCAUUCAUAGCACUUUCCCUAUUUUAAGCAUUUAUUUGUUAAUAUAUAAUCUCUCUUAUAACGGCUACGGCGCAAUAUGGCAAGUCAUCAUGAAAAACAAAGUAGAUUGUACCCCCUUUAUUUUUUUUUAUUAUAUAUAUAAGCUCAAUUUUUUUUUAGCUUAACAUUAUUAAUUAAAAAAAGUAGAGAUAUUGGAGUGGAAGAGCCACUAAUUAGUACAUUUUCUUACUCUUUGUUGCAUUCUUUUCGAGCCACUAACCUUAAAACAAUUCUCCUUUUAUACUCAACAGAAAAAAGAAUAGCUAGUAACAUGCACAUAGUAUUGAGUUCUCUUCUUUAGCAUGACUAUAGAAGUGUUCAUUACUACUAGUAUUAUUUAUCUUCAUUUGACUAGAAGAUACAAAGAUGUUUAAAAGAUAAACAGAUCAUACUCAUGUUAUAUAUUCAUGUACCAGACUACAAGCUAGUAUUAUCUAAUUAUGUGACAUUUUUAACUUCUGAAGAGAGUCAAAUUGGCUAAUUUUUGAACUAUCGAAUUUAAUGAUCAACUCAAUAUUUUAAAAUAUUUAAAUGUUGGUAAAAAAAUUCAACUAGUUCAAAUUUCGGAAAACGAAAAGUCACAUAAAUCGACGGAGGGAGUAGUAUAAAAAAACAUGGUCAAAAACUUUUUUUUAGUACUAGCAUUUCAAAAUAGAGAUUAGCUCUUUCUCAUUCCUCUCUAGUCUUCAACCUCAUUCAUAUUUUCAAAUAUAUACCGAAGAAGAACGAGACAUAUCACUUUAAAGAAAAACAAUAAGAAGAGGAAUUUAAUCAUGAUAACAUACACAUAUUUAUAAGAAGAGAGAUAAACUCAAAUAAUGUUCCAAUUUAUUUCUCACUAUACACUUAUGCUACUGUAGUCCAAAAGGAGAGGAAAAUAUAUAACAUGAGUAUAGAGAGAAAUAAAGUGCAAAAAAGUUAGAAAUCAAUGUGGGAUUUAAGGUGAAGCAAUGGAAAACACAAACACAAAGAGGGGACGGAGCUAGAAGGCAACUUAACUUACGGCUUCGUCCUGAACUCUAUAUUUGUGUUAUGAAAUUAGUAAAUAUGAAUAUAUAUUAAAUUUAGAAUCCAAUUAUUAGCAUUUGAAGUCGUUGUAGUAUUCAGAACCCAUAAAUUCAAAUCCUGGCUCCACGUAUGCACACAUAGUCUCAAAACAUAUAAACACACACUCAUGAUCGAUAGCAAAAUUAUUAUACCAUAUUAUAUAUUCUUCUUUAUUUUCUCCUUUAGUUAUGGGGUUGUGAAUGGUAAUUAAGUAGCAUUUAAACCAAAAAAAAAAAAGAAGAAAAAAAGACAUGAGUUAAGAAGCAGACCGUCAUAUUGUGUGACUUUGAGACGAUGGAGGAGCUACUAGCAACACAAAUGUAAACUUCCUUUAGAUGAAAUAAUUAAUGUCUAAGUUUAAUUCGUAUUCCUUUGUGUGUCUAUAGACUAUACUAAUAUUGUGUGUUUAUAUACACACAAAACUUGACCUGGACAGGCAUGAUUAUCUAUUAAUUGGAGCGUAUACAAUAAGAAAGAUAAGGAAAAAUAUGACUAAAAAUAGUACUAUAUAUAUAUUUUUUUAAAUGUGGUCCAACCCACAAUAUAAUCAUAUUUUCUUUUCUUUUCACAUUUUUAUUUGACCAUCUAUAGGUUGUUAUUAAUUUUUGGAGACAAACCUUGUGCUAUGAGGGCCACAAAAGUUUCAAGAAAAUAAUAAUAAGAAGGAAUGGACCAUGUUAGAAAGCACACUGAAGUUGCGGCUUUGAUAACUAGCUAGAGUGGGUCAUUUGCAUUUUUUGCCCCCAUUUUGGGUUGGUUUCAAACUUUUGUCCCUCAAGAUAAACGUUUUUAGGGACACAAGCUUAUAUUUUCGCAUUAGAAUAUUUUGCAAGUUAUGUUUCGCAUUUUUUAUAAAUUUAUGUCCUCAAGGUAUGAGUUUGGUUUUUAAAGACAAAAAUUAAAAAUCAGCUUAUUUAAAGCUUGAAGGGACAAUCGUGCAAUCAAAUGAGCAAUGAGCUAGAGUCCACUCAUCUAUUCAACUCCUUGUUUUGGGGAAAAUUAAAGGUAGUUGCAAUAUAUGUACUAUAGAGUAAUGUAAUAACAAAGAAAUUCAUUCUGAUCUUGAAAAUACAACCAAUCUUGUAUAAGGACAGGCGUUAUCGUGAUAAUGAUUUUUAAAUCAAUAUAAUAGUCCCUUUUUAUUUUAAUUCCAGUAAUAUCAUAUAAAUUUACUGACUUUGCCUUCUUAUUUACAAGGACUAUUUAUUAUUAUCUCACCACUAUCUUCUUUAUGACCUGAAUUUUUCAAUCUUAGUUUUCGCAUACUUGCGAAUAAUAAAGUUUGCUGAAACCAUCAAAGGGAUUGUUAUAGUAAUUAAGAAUGUAUAAGAAAAAUCAUUGAAAUUGUAGGGUAUUUUACUAAAAUUGUCAAUUUUACUUAAAUGUCAAGACUAGUGUCGUAUGUACAUAACACUGCACACUUGAUUGAGUACAAAAAAAGUUUUUGACAUAUUUCAAAAGGCUUGAAGUUUGCUUCGUUAUUUACAUGAUAUUGACCCCUAGCUCUAGCUGCAGCUACAUCUUAUAGAACCUUUUUGGUUCUUUUAAUUUUGGUGUCACAAUAAUUAAGUAAUCGAAAAGAAAUAAAUAUUGAUAGGACUGUACUCUAAACUUGAUGAAAAUUCCCAGAAUAUUGAUCAAUUAUGUAAGUAUGCUAUAAUACUAAUACCUUAUUUUGAUGUAUAUACUUCAGUACCUAACUUGUGGUUUUUGACUUAUUUUUGUUAUUUUGACUUAAAAACAAGCGUUUAAAGUACCUUUUUUUUUAAUCUCACCCAAACACUACAAAAAUGCUUAAAAACACUUAAUAUAAGUCAAUCCAAACAUGUUCAUAGUCAAAUUAACAUAUAAUAGGCAUAUAACUCCAGAAAUUGGCCUACUUCCACUACUAAAAAGACAUCGAAUUAUCCCUUGCUAAUCCGUCACUAAAAACUUCUAGCUAGUUUGAAAUUUUAUUUAAUUUAUCGCUUAUCCGUAACUAAAUGAAAUUAUCAUGAAAUUUUUGUUGUUAAGCUACAAAAUUUUGUCCGUUGUUAAUUUCUUGUUUUCUAGUAAUUAGUGUUCCUUAAUCCAAUCCAACCAAGCCAGGUACCUUGGAUUAGCCUCUUGAUGCAGCAGAAUUGUCAUCUUAUUCUUGGAAUGAACCAAGAAAAGGGCAGACAAAUUGCAUUUGAUAAAACUUAGGUUUCAUUGGUUUGUCCAUCAAGUAUUUUGUCUCUUCGCAUAGUAGCACAUAAUAAAUUCAAUUUCACUCAAGCAGAGAAGCAAAAAUAGUGAUCAAGAACGUAACACGCGAUUUUUUGAUAACAAAGUCGAGAUUAUUCAAAGCUAGUAAUAGCCAUGGCAGAAAAGGAAGGAGCAAUUGUCAAAAAGGGACAUGAGGAAGGUUUGAAAAUGGCAGUUUCCCUACUCGAAGAAUUCGGACUCCCAAUGGGGCUCCUCCCUCUUGCUGAUGUGAUCGAAGUGGGAUUCGUGAAGAACACAGGCUACAUGUGGAUCCAGCAAAAUAAAAAAAUUGAACACAAGUUCAAAAUGAUCAGUAAAAUGGUAAGUUAUGACACUGAAAUAAAUGGAUAUAUUGACAAGAAAAGAAUCAAGAAGCUCAAGGGAGUGAAAGCUAAGGAAUUGAUGUUAUGGCCUCCAGUUAAUGAGAUGACUGUAGAUGAUCCUCCCACUGGCAAGAUUCAAUUCAAGAGUCUGGCUGGCAUCACCAAAACAUUCCCAGUUGAAGCUUUUGCUGCUGGCCAGUAAUGGAAAUGGAAUAUAUAUUUUCUGAUUCAUGACACUUGUGUGUUUUCUAUAUUGUUUGCUUUCUUGGUAGAAAGAUAUUAUUUCUUGGAACUGAGGUUUCUCGGUUUUUAAGUAAGUAAGAAACUUUGUUACCUGGUCUUCCUUUAUUAGGGGCCUUAGCUAGUGAUCCGGUAUAUAGAAAUUAUUGUAUAUGUCAAAUAACAUCGGAAGUGUUGGUUCUAGAAAAUGAAAUGUCUAAUGUUUUUUCACCCAAAGAACUUGUUGUAUUGUUGAGAGUAGAACGAAUGGGGUGCGCUUUGGAAAUCUAAAUAGUUGAGUUAUCGUGCUCAGUAACACUGGGUAGCCAAAGGUGAAGCAGAUAAUUGCUGAUCAAAGUCAAAAAAGCAGGGCAUUUCUCAUUUUUAUAGGAAUUUUGUAUAACAAUGGUAUCUCUAAUUAUAGCCCCAAUUGAACGUUCGAAAAAAAGUUCCUAUUUGUAAGCGAAGUAAAUUACACUACAUAAAAAAUGAUCAUUAGCGGUAAUUAAUUCUUAAUUGCCGCUAAAUAUGUAUUUUAGCGGCAAUUAGUCUUUGUAUAUGUCCCUAAAGCCUUUAGUGACAUUGGUUCUAAUGACACUUAACUAAUGCCGGUAAAGACUUUGACACUCUUUAUUAAUGUCAAUAUUUAUUGCCGCUAAAAGUUGUUUUUGUUGUAGUGUUAACCCAAGGUUAGGUAUACACCAAAUCCUAAUUAAGGAAAUUUUAAAAUCAGACAAGAAAAAACCUUUUCUUAUGUCAUUCGAUCUUCGUGGUUGAAAAAUAGAAAAAGAUAAUAAGACAUGCAGUUUCAUACAUGUAUCUCCCCAUGUAUAACAAAAACAUAGAAAAUGCUGCCAACUAUUUAGAUAUCCUAUCUAAAAGAUUCUCAAUAUAAAUAGGAAGACGUUUUAAAUACCACGCAUGACUUGAGCACCAUGUCUUGCACAAUAUCAGAAUGUCAAUGGUGUGAUUUUGCAUAGUUAAAAAAAUAACUAUUCUGCCAGAUGUUUUGGAAUCAUAUCUGAUAUGGUCAACAACAACCAUAGCUUUCAUUGGUUUUUCCUCAAUAAAUUCAGUUUCUUUCAAGCAAAAAUAGUAGUAAUCAAGAAGAAGCAUUCUUUCUUUUGAGAAUUCAAAUCUAUGGCAGAGAAGGAAGGAGCAAUUGUCAAGAAGGGGCAUGAGGAAGGUUUCAAAAUGAUGAUUUCCCUACUCGAAGAAUUCAAACUCCCACUGGGGAUCUUCCCUGUUGUUGAUGUGAUCGAAGUGGGGUUUGUGAAGAACACAGGCUACAUGUGGAUCCAGCAAGCAAAAAAAGUUGAGCACAAGUUCAAGAUGCUCCGCACACCGGCAAGUUAUGACACUGAAAUAAGUGGAUAUAUUGACAAGAAGAGAAUCAAGAAGCUCAAGGGACUGAAAGUUAACGGGCCGAUAGUGUCGCAUCCAGUUAAUGAGAUCAUUGUGGAUGAUCCUCCCACUGGUAAUAUUCAAUUUAAGGGGUUUGGUGGCAUCAGCAAAACUCUCCCACUUGAAUAUUUUGUUGCUGGCCAGUAAGGGAAAAAAUCAAUGCAUAUUUUCUGAUUCAUGACACUAAUUGUGUCUUGUAUCCAAUUGGUAUUAAUUAAGCAAAAUGAUCAAUUCAUUAUUAUUUGCAGUUUUUGUUUGGCAUAAAAAAUAAAAUGUUUUGUUUUCUGAUAGCAAUGUCCUGUUCUUUGAGAUACGCAUGUAUGUAUUCUUGAAAUUAAUGCAUGUUUCUUCUUCCUGAACUCUCUUCACAACGUGUUUAACGAUAUAAUUGUUAGCAACUCCAUUAAAACUAUAAUGGCUUGUGAUCGAUUUUACAUCAAAUACUCCAUCAAUAAAAAACAGUCUGCUUUCUUUCAAAUAUCAGUAAUUAGCAUUUGAAGUCAUUGUAGAAUUCAGAACCCAUAAGUUCAAAUCCUAGCACCACCUAUGUGCACAGAAUCUCGAAACAUAUAAACGGACACACUCAUGAUCGAUAGCAAAGAUUAUUAUACCAUUUAAGUGUGGUCACAUAUUAUCUUUUCUUUUCACAUUUUUAUUUGAGCAUAGGUUGUUAAUUUUUGGAGACAAACCUUGUGCUAUGAGGGCCACAAAAGUUUCAAGAAAAUAAUAAGGAGGAGAAUUGGGUCAUGAUAGAAAGCACACUGAAGUUGCGGCUUUGAUAGCUAGCUAGAGUGGGUCAUUUGUACUUUAAUUUCUACCCUAUUUUGUGUUUUGUCCGUCAGGACCAAAAACUUUUUUGUGGGACAUAAGUAUAUUUCACAUUAUAAUAUCUCACAAAAUAUGUCUCGUGUCCUUAAAGAACUUGUGUUCGGCUACCUAGACAUAAGUUCAAUUGCUUAAGACAAAAAAUAAAAACCAACUCAUACAAAAGAUAAAAAAUAAAGAUCAAAUCGGGACAAUGUGCAGUUAAAUGCGCUAGAGUCCACACAUCUAUUCAGUUCCUUUUUUUUUAAGCCAUCACCAGGGUUGUGAGCCCUUAGUGUGUGGGGUAGGCUUGACCCCGACCAUGUCUAUUCAUCCAAAAAGGUACAAAGUUAGAGGGGGACAUGGACCAAACCUCCAACAAGAAACCAACUACACAAAAAUUUCCGAAGAAAUAAAAAAAGGAUUAGCCUAUACAAUAUCUUUUCCUAUAAACCAAAAGUUUUUUAGCUAACAAAAAAGUUGUUUUCUCGUAUCUUCUUCGUAUGGACGGAUAUUGUCAUUUGUCCAGUUGAAUUGAGCCUUUAACCUCUCUAGGAAGUUGACGAUGAGAGGAGUAAAAGGUUUUGUUUCCACUAGAGGAUGCCAAUUUAGCAAGAAAGUUGGCUACUUGAUUUGCCUCUCGCAAACAGUGAGUAAUAUUCACGGAAGUUCUACUAUUGAAUUGACUUAUAUCACGAAUGAGCGUCUUCAGUUUCAUGUUGGUAAUGUUACUAUAUAGUUUGUAAUAACAAAUAAAUUCAUUCUAGUCUUGAUAAUACAACCAACCUUAGAUGGCCAUUAUCAUGAUAUCGAAUUUUAAAACAAUAGUCCCUUUUUUUAAAACUAGUUUCAGGGCAUGUGCGUUGCACGUGUGUCCCAAUUCUGCUAGUAUAUUGUUUUUAAAAGUAUAUUGGCUCUGCAACCAGCAGUAUCAGAAUCUCAAACCCUAGGUCGGCAGGCAGCAGUCAUGGCUGCUACGGUCACUGGACGGCCUCAUUUCGAGGCUGUCCAGCCCUCCCCACCACCCCAAACCACCACAUACGCCACCUUUUUCAAUUCCAAUACUAUAAAUCCUAAACAAUCUGCCCUAAUUAAACUCAAAAACGAUUAUAAAAUCAAUCGAAAUAAUUCAUGGAGAACCUACUAUCACGUUUUCAAUGGAGAAAGGCAAGACUUUAUGAUCGAAGAGGGAUUACAUCAAGCAAUGGUGUUUAAAUUAUCCCAUGGUGCGCCAAAUUUGAAUGUAUUAAGGUCAAUUUUUACCGAAACAUACUUGGUACCAAGGGCAAUUGUUUAAUUGGCUUACUUGCUCCAAGACAAAUUUUGUUGAGGUUUGAUCUAUAUGAAGAUUAUGUACUAGCUUUAUUUCGCUCAGUUAAUUAUCUUCUCUACAAUGGAGAGGAGCACAAAUGUACGGUUUUUCCAUGAUCCAUUGGAUCUAAUCCUAAGGAGGAAAUAAUGUUAGCUAUGGUUUGGAUUUCUUUACCGAACUUAUCUCCAGAUUUGUUUGCAAAGAAGUCUAUGUUGUCCAUAGCAUCAACAGUUGGGAAACCAAUAACUACAGAUAAAGCUAUUCAAACCGAGUCAAGACCUAGCACGGCUAGGGUCAAGGUUAUACUUGAUCUAAUGGAAAAGCUUCCAAAUCGUAUAAGGUUGCAGUUUGUGNNNNNNNNNNNNNNNNNNNNNNNNNNNNNNNNNNNNNNNNNNNNNNNNNNNNNNNNNNNNNNNNNNNNNNNNNNNNNNNNNNNNNNNNNNNNNNNNNNNNNNNNNNNNNNNNNNNNNNNNNNNNNNNNNNNNNNNNNNNNNNNNNNNNNNNNNNNNNNNNNNNNNNNNNNNNNNNNNNNNNNNNNNNNNNNNNNNNNNNNNNNNNNNNNNNNNNNNNNNNNNNNNNNNNNNNNNNNNNNNNNNNNNNNNNNNNNNNNNNNNNNNNNNNNNNNNNNNNNNNNNNNNNNNNNNNNNNNNNNNNNNNNNNNNNNNNNNNNNNNNNNNNNNNNNNNNNNNNNNNNNNNNNNNNNNNNNNNNNNNNNNNNNNNNNNNNNNNNNNNNNNNNNNNNNNNNNNNNNNNNNNNNNNNNNNNNNNNNNNNNNNNNNNNNNNNNNNNNNNNNNNNNNNNNNNNNNNNNNNNNNNNNNNNNNNNNNNNNNNNNNNNNNNNNNNNNNNNNNNNNNNNNNNNNNNNNNNNNNNNNNNNNNNNNNNNNNNNNNNNNNNNNNNNNNNNNNNNNNNNNNNNNNNNNNNNNNNNNNNNNNNNNNNNNNNNNNNNNNNNNNNNNNNNNNNNNNNNNNNNNNNNNNNNNNNNNNNNNNNNNNNNNNNNNNNNNNNNNNNNNNNNNNNNNNNNNNNNNNNNNNNNNNNNNNNNNNNNNNNNNNNNNNNNNNNNNNNNNNNNNNNNNNNNNNNNNNNNNNNNNNNNNNNNNNNNNNNNNNNNNNNNNNNNNNNNNNNNNNNNNNNNNNNNNNNNNNNNNNNNNNNNNNNNNNNNNNNNNNNNNNNNNNNNNNNNNNNNNNNNNNNNNNNNNNNNNNNNNNNNNNNNNNNNNNNNNNNNNNNNNNNNNNNNNNNNNNNNNNNNNNNNNNNNNNNNNNNNNNNNNNNNNNNNNNNNNNNNNNNNNNNNNNNNNNNNNNNNNNNNNNNNNNNNNNNNNNNNNNNNNNNNNNNNNNNNNNNNNNNNNNNNNNNNNNNNNNNNNNNNNNNNNNNNNNNNNNNNNNNNNNNNNNNNNNNNNNNNNNNNNNNNNNNNNNNNNNNNNNNNNNNNNNNNNNNNNNNNNNNNNNNNNNNNNNNNNNNNNNNNNNNNNNNNNNNNNNNNNNNNNNNNNNNNNNNNNNNNNNNNNNNNNNNNNNNNNNNNNNNNNNNNNNNNNNNNNNNNNNNNNNNNNNNNNNNNNNNNNNNNNNNNNNNNNNNNNNNNNNNNNNNNNNNNNNNNNNNNNNNNNNNNNNNNNNNNNNNNNNNNNNNNNNNNNNNNNNNNNNNNNNNNNNNNNNNNNNNNNNNNNNNNNNNNNNNNNNNNNNNNNNNNNNNNNNNNNNNGAGGCUGGUAACUCAACUUUCUUCUUGAUUGACAUAUUUUUACAUUAUUUAAGCAUCCUCAUUUGUAAUAUCAUCAUGGAGUGUAUUAUAAACUCUGUGAUGAUCAGAAAAUACUUAGUUUUCUCUAGCUUUUAUUUUCUUCAUGCUUGUUAGGUAGCAGAAGUUAGGUACUUCAUUAGGAAUGGUAAGGUAAUGCCUAGCCCCCCUUGCUUGUACUUGUCCCUAUUGAUAUUUUUUAUGUUUAAUAAAAGACCGCUAGACACUGUCAAAAAAAAAAAAAAGUAAUAUAAAUUUGAAGAAAGAAAGUACAAAUUGAAUAUGAAAAAUAAUUAAGCUACUUAAAUGACUUAAUUGUUCAAUACAAAAUAUUAAGGAUUGCCUAAACUUAGAAAAAACAAUUAAAUUUAGUUAUAUAGGUGCAAUGUGUAAUCAAAUAAUAAAUAUGUGGCUGUUUGUACAACUACAACAUGACAUGAUAAAAUAUAAGUUGUACCAAAAUUUUCAAAAUUAAUGUUCCUAAAAAUAGCACUAAAGAAUCUUACCCCAAAUUAAGCACAAAUACAAUACGUAUGCACAUUUUAAAGUGUAAGCAUAUAACUAACCCUUUUUUUAGUAAUACAAUUGUAGGAAUAAUUUUAUAAAGCUAGUAUCCUAAAUCAACAUUUUAAACCAUCAUAACAUACAAUUUAAAAGCAAUUAUUUAUAUAGAAGAAAAUAAAUAUCAACGUCAGUACCAUAUUCUUACUAUUCUAGGAGAAAAGGAUGAUAUUGUAUUCUUAUGUAAAUAUGUCAUAUUUCUAUGAUUAUUGUGAAGUUGGGAGUGUGAUGAAAUGGAGCAUAAUUAUCCAAUUUAUCACUCUUUUGUAAUGUUAUAUAAAAAUCCAUAUUAAAUGUGAGUCCUUAUAAUUCAUAAGAAUGUGAAUGGUCAAAUUUUCAUUUUUUUAAACAUAGGAGCAGAAAAGUCUGGCUGUAGAUGAUCCUCCCACUGGCAAGAUUCAAUUCAAGAGUCUGGCUGGCAUCACCAAAACAUUCCCAGUUGAAGCUUUUGCUGCUGGCCAGUAAUGGAAAUGGAAUAUAUAUUUUCUGAUUCAUGACACUCUUGUGUUUUCUAUAUUGUUUGCUUUCUUCAUAGAAAGAUAUGAUUUCUUGGAACUGUGGUUUCUCAGUUUUUAAGUAAGUACGUAGCUCAAUAAGAAACUUUGUUACCUGGUCUUCCUUUAUUAGGGGCCUUAGCUAAUGAUCUGGUAUAUAGAAAUUAUUGUAUACGUCUGUUGGUUCUAGAAAAUGAAAUGUCUAAUGUUUUUUCACCCAAAGAACUUGUUGGUUUGUUGCGAGUAGAAUGAAUGGGGUGCGCUUUGGAAAUCUAAAUAGUUGAGUUAUCGUGCUCAUAGUAACACUGGGUAGCCAAAGGUGAAGCAGAUAAUUGCUGAUCAAAGUCAAAAAAGCAGGGCAUUUCUCAUUUUUAUAGGAAUUUUGUAUAAAAACAAUGGUAUCUUUGAAAAAAAGUUCCUAUUUGUAAGCGAAGUAAAUUAAUUAACCCAAGGUCAGGUAUAGACCAAAUCCUAAUUAAGGAAAUUUUAAAAUCAGACAAGAAAAAACCUUUUCUUAUGUCAUUCGAUCUUUGUGGUUGAAAAAUAGAAAAAGAUAAUAAGACAUGUAGUUUCAUAUAUGUAUCUCUCCAUGUACAACAAAAACAUAGAAAAUGCUGCCAACUAUUUAGAUAUCCUAUCUAAAAGAUUCUCAAUAUAAAUAGGAAGACGUUUUAAAUACCACGCAUGACUUGAGCACCAUGUCUUGCACAAUAUCAGAAUGUCAAUGGUGUGAUUUUGCAUAGUUAAAAAAAUAACUAUUCUGCCAGAUGUUUUGGAAUCAUAUCUGAUAUGGUCAACAACAACCAUAGCUUUCAUUGGUUUUUCCUCAAUAAAUUCAGUUUCUUUCAAGCAAAAAUAGUAGUAAUCAAGAAGAAGCAUUCUUUCUUUUGAGAAUUCAAAUCUAUGGCAGAGAAGGAAGGAGCAAUUGUCAAGAAGGGGCAUGAGGAAGGUUUCAAAAUGAUGAUUUCCCUACUCGAAGAAUUCAAACUCCCACUGGGGAUCUUCCCUGUUGUUGAUGUGAUCGAAGUGGGGUUUGUGAAGAACACAGGCUACAUGUGGAUCCAGCAAGCAAAAAAAGUUGAGCACAAGUUCAAGAUGCUCCGCACACCGGCAAGUUAUGACACUGAAAUAAGUGGAUAUAUUGACAAGAAGAGAAUCAAGAAGCUCAAGGGACUGAAAGUUAACGGGCCGAUAGUGUCGCCUCCAGUUAAUGAGAUCAUUGUGGAUGAUCCUCCCACUGGUAAUAUUCAAUUUAAGGGGUUUGGUGGCAUCAGCAAAACUCUCCCACUUGAAUAUUUUGUUGCUGGCCAGUAAGGGAAAAAAUCAAUGCAUAUUUUCUGAUUCAUGACACUAAUUGUGUCUUGUAUCCAAUUGGUAUUAAUUAAGCAAAAUGAUCAAUUCAUUAUUAUUUGCAGUUUUUGUUUGGCAUAAAAAAUAAAAUGUUUUGUUUUCUGAUAGCAAUGUCCUGUUCUUUGAGAUACACAUGUAUGUAUUGUUGAAGUUAAUGCAUGUUUCUUCUUCCUGAACUCUCUUCACAACGUGUUUAACGAUAUAAUUGUUAGCAACUCCAUUAAAACUAUAAUGGCUUGUGAUCGAUUUUACAUCAAAUACUCCAUCAAUAAAAAACAGUCUGCUUUCUUUCAAAUAUCAGUAAUUAGCAUUUGAAGUCAUUGUAGAAUUCAGAACCCAUAAGUUCAAAUCCUGGCACCACCUAUGUGCACAGAAUCUCGAAACAUAUAAACGGACACACUCAUGAUCGAUAGCAAAGAUUAUUAUACCAUUUAAGUGUGGUCACAUAUUAUCUUUUCUUUUCACAUUUUUAUUUGAGCAUAGGUUGUUAAUUUUUGGAGACAAACCUUGUGCUAUGAGGGCCACAAAAGUUUCAAGAAAAUAAUAAGGAGGAGAAUUGGGUCAUGAUAGGAAAGCACACUGAAGUUGCGGUGCGGCUUUGAUACACUGAAGGUCAGGUAUAGACCAAAUCCUAAUUAUGGAAAUUUUAAAAUGAGACAAGAAAAAACCUUUUCUUAAGUCAUUCGAUCUUCGUGGUUGAAAAAUAGAAAAAGAUAAUCAGACAUGCAAUUUCAUAUAUGUUGUAGACAAUAAAAUUCGCGCCGAGAAAACAAUAAUCAAGAAUGGAAAAUUAUAGCAACAAUUGUUUUAUUAUUUCAAGCGUGAGUGUUACAAUCUCUAUAAUUCCUCUGAAUUCGCCUUUUCAAAUAUAAUUCAAGGACUCUUGAGCUUGAUCUUGGCUUGGGAUAUAUCUCGAUCUUGAUCUCUAUCUUGAUCUAGAUCUUGAACUUGAACUUGGACUUGGACUUGGACUUGAUCUUGAGUUUUAUCUUGAUCUUGAACUUGAACUUUAUCUUGAUCUUGACUUCUAGUUGAAUUCAAGGGCUUCGAGCUUGAUAUUGAAUCCGACUGUCUUGAUCUUGAUUGUUCUUGAAACUUGAACAUUCUUGAAACUUGAAUGCUUGAAUUCUUGAACUCUUGAACCUGUAGAGAAAUCUACGGCUUUUGAUCUGCGAGCUUUCUCUAGCUUCUUGUUAAAAUUCUUGGUUCCUUUUAUGAAUUAUGAGGACCCCUAUUUAUAGUUUUAAAAUAGAGGAGUUGUGAUUGGAAGAGGAUAUAUUCCCUUUGGCCAAUCAGAUUUAAGUGACAUGACAUACGGGAUUUAAUUAAAUCAAUAUUUAUUAGAUUUAAAUAAUUAACUCAAUUAUAUUAAUCCAUAAAAUUUAUUUGGACUAAUAUAUUCAUAGAUUAAAUAUAAUUCGAAUCAUUUUAUAAAUUUAUAUUUAAUAAAUUUUAAAUGAUUACAAAUUCCCCUUUCUUCAAGUCUUGUCGAGAUAUUUUAUCUUUCAAAGACUAGGCUUGUAGAAUUUGAAGACUUGAACUUGCAGACUUGAAGAAUUUGAAGACUUCAACUUGCAGACUUGACAAAUUUUGAAUACUUUAACUUGUAGAAAUAGAAGAUUUUAAUACUUCAACUUGUAUACUUGGAGAAUUUGAAGACUUUAACUUGCAUACUAGGAGAUUUUUGAAAACUUCAUCUUGAAACAACUUUUAUUCAUAGGGGUUUUCCCCCAUUGAGUCACCACCAUUUGGUGCAAGUCUGAAGUUUUAUGAAAGAUUACUCAUAGCUUUAACUUUCAUGUGACAAUUCAAAGGGGAACAUGUGGUUUUUUGACACUCAUGUAACUAAACUUAGAAUAUGAUUCUAAGGGCCUACGUACCUCAGUGAAGAGGAUCAAGUCACAACGUAGUUUUGGGAGAGUUUUAUUUUUGGGUGUGUCGUACACAGUUUAUACUCUUGCGGGCCAAGAGUGACAUGCAGUUUAGGCUCAUACCUUAAGGAGAAUUUCCACUUGAAUAGUUAACUCUAAUUUGAAGAGCUUUAUGACAUACAGUUUAAGCUCGUGUUUCAAGGAGCAUUUCAGCUUGAAGAUUUAACUCAAAUUUGAAGAGCUUCGUGAUAUACAAUUUAGGCUCGUGUGUCUAGCAACAUUAUAACCUGCAGUUUAGGCUCAUGCGGUGAGGAGCAUUGUAACUUGCAGUUUAAGCUCAUGUGUUAAGGAGCGUUGAAAUUUGCAGUUUAAGCUCAUGCGUUAAGGAGCGUCUAGAUAUACGUUGACGUUUCAAAGUCAUCUUCGAAUGCAGACUUGCCCCCACUUUGGAGUUCUUAUAUAUCUUCAUGAGGUCCAUGGAAAGAAGAUUAUUGAUUUUCUCUCAAAGUCAUGCUUAAUUCUAUAUCACGUGCACGAGUUACCAACUCUUCGAACGUAUUGGGCUUUAAUCCUUGCAAAAUGUAGCGAAAACCCCAAUUCAUGCCUUGGAUGCACAUUUCAAUGCUAGAAGUUUCACUAAGGCGAUCUUUGCAAUUGAGGUUCAGACUUCUCCAGCGAUUGAUAAAAGUCAACAACUAGCUCAUCUUCACCUUGAUGAGCCUUUGUAAGUUCAAUCAUACUAAUGACACGUCUCGUGCUAUAGAAUCGAUUAAGAAACUCUUGCUCAAACCGGUCCCAACAAUCUAUAUAAUUAGGUUCGAGUCGGUGUACCAAUUAAAAGGUAUUUUCUUUGAGAGAUCGAACGAACUCUUUAACGAGAUAAUCACCAUAUGUCCCAGCAUCAUUGCAAGUCUCGAUAUAGUGCGCUAUAUGUUAUUUAGUAUUUCCUUUGCCAUCAAAUUAGUGAAGCUUAGGAGAUUGAUAACCCUCAAGCAUUUUCAAGUUAUCAAUCCUUUGUGUAUAUGGCUUUGCAUAUAUGGGAGAAAAUUUGGAUGAAGACUAAGAUUUGUGUUCGACAACCUCUAUGAUAAAGCCUUUCAAUUGAUCAAUUGGAAUCAAAUCUUCAGCUGAGAUAUGAAUUUCUUUGAUCUUUGUUUGAUUUACGCAAGACUCUCCUUCGUCUUGAAUUUUAAGAAGCUUCCGAGGUGCUCGACUUGAUCUUCUUUCAAUCAUGUUAUCCAUCUUAUUUGUUAACUUCAAAAGUUUAGCAUCUUGUUCGUAUGCACACUUUGUCAAGCCUUCAAUCACUUUUGUCAAGCUUGCUAGUUAUUCUUCUAUAGUGGAAGUCAUUUUGAUAUUCUUUGAUACUUGGAAAGUUGAGAUGAGAGGUAGAGAUUGUCCUACUGGGCAUGCCAAAAUUUGUAGACAAUAAAAUUUGCGUCGAGAAAACAAUAAUCAAGACCGGAAAAUUAUAGCAAUAAUUGUUGUAUUAUUUCAAGUGCAAGUGUUACAAUCUCUAUAAUUCCUCUGAUUUCUCCUUUUCAAAUAUAAUUCAAGGGCUCUUGAGCAUGAUCUCUCUCUUGGGAUUUAUCUCGAUCUUGAUCUCUCUCUUGAUCUUGAUCUUGAGCUUGGACUUGGACUUGGACUUGAUCUUGAUUCAAAUAUUUGUGAAACAUAUCGAUUAUAUCUAUGAAACUAUAUUUGUUAUUUACAAAUUAUGAAAAUCGACUAAGAUCACCUUUUAUGACUUUGAAAGUUUUUUUUUUCUUUUUUUUUUUUAAUUUUAUAAAACUAAUUAUCCUAAAUCGUUUGGAAAUUAAGAAGCUCGAAAAUUAAUUAUUAUCGGGGAGGGUCAAAAUUGGGUGUCAACAAUAUAAUUGUUAGCAACUCCAUUAAAACUAUAAUGGCUUGUGAUCGAUUUUACAUCAAAUACUCCAUCAAUAAAAACAGUCUGCUUUCUUUCAAAUAUCAGUUAUUAGCAUUUGAAGUCAUUGUAGAAUUCAGAACCCAUAAGUUCAAAUCCUGGCACCACCUAUGUGCACAGAAUCUCGAAACAUAUAAACGGACACACUCAUGAUCGAUAGCAAAGAUUAUUAUACCAUUUAAAUGUGGUCACAUAUUAUCUUGUCUUUUCACAUUUUUAUUUGAGCAUAGGUUGUUAAUUUUUGGAGACAAACCUUGUGCUAUGAGGGCCACAAAAGUUUCAAGAAAAUAAUAAGGAGGAGAAUUGGGUCAUGAUAGGAAAGCACACUGAAGUUGCGGUGCGGCUUUGAUACACUGAAGGUCAGGUAUAGACCAAAUCCUAAUUAUGGAAAUUUUAAAAUGAGACAAGAAAAAACCUUUUCUUAAGUCAUUCGAUCUUCGUGGUUGAAAAAUAGAAAAAGAUAAUCAGACAUGCAAUUUCAUAUAUGUUGUAGACAAUAAAAUUCGCGCCGAGAAAACAAUAAUCAAGAAUGGAAAAUUAUAGCAACAAUUGUUUUAUUAUUUCAAGCGUGAGUGUUACAAUCUCUAUAAUUCCUCUGAAUUCGCCUUUUCAAAUAUAAUUCAAGGACUCUUGAGCUUGAUCUUGGCUUGGGAUAUAUCUCGAUCUUGAUCUCUAUCUUGAUCUAGAUCUUGAACUUGAACUUGGACUUGGACUUGGACUUGAUCUUGAGUUUUAUCUUGAUCUUGAACUUGAACUUUAUCUUGAUCUUGACUUCUAGUUGAAUUCAAGGGCUUCGAGCUUGAUAUUGAAUCCGACUGUCUUGAUCUUGAUUGUUCUUGAAACUUGAACAUUCUUGAAACUUGAAUGCUUGAAUUCUUGAACUCUUGAACCUGUAGAGAAAUCUACGGCUUUUGAUCUGCGAGCUUUCUCUAGCUUCUUGUUAAAAUUCUUGGUUCCUUUUAUGAAUUAUGAGGACCCCUAUUUAUAGUUUUAAAAUAGAGGAGUUGUGAUUGGAAGAGGAUAUAUUCCCUUUGGCCAAUCAGAUUUAAGUGACAUGACAUACGGGAUUUAAUUAAAUCAAUAUUUAUUAGAUUUAAAUAAUUAACUCAAUUAUAUUAAUCCAUAAAAUUUAUUUGGACUAAUAUAUUCAUAGAUUAAAUAUAAUUCGAAUCAUUUUAUAAAUUUAUAUUUAAUAAAUUUUAAAUGAUUACAAAUUCCCCUUUCUUCAAGUCUUGUCGAGAUAUUUUAUCUUUCAAAGACUAGGCUUGUAGAAUUUGAAGACUUGAACUUGCAGACUUGAAGAAUUUGAAGACUUCAACUUGCAGACUUGACAAAUUUUGAAUACUUUAACUUGUAGAAAUAGAAGAUUUUAAUACUUCAACUUGUAUACUUGGAGAAUUUGAAGACUUUAACUUGCAUACUAGGAGAUUUUUGAAAACUUCAUCUUGAAACAACUUUUAUUCAUAGGGGUUUUCCCCCAUUGAGUCACCACCAUUUGGUGCAAGUCUGAAGUUUUAUGAAAGAUUACUCAUAGCUUUAACUUUCAUGUGACAAUUCAAAGGGGAACAUGUGGUUUUUUGACACUCAUGUAACUAAACUUAGAAUAUGAUUCUAAGGGCCUACGUACCUCAGUGAAGAGGAUCAAGUCACAACGUAGUUUUGGGAGAGUUUUAUUUUUGGGUGUGUCGUACACAGUUUAUACUCUUGCGGGCCAAGAGUGACAUGCAGUUUAGGCUCAUACCUUAAGGAGAAUUUCCACUUGAAUAGUUAACUCUAAUUUGAAGAGCUUUAUGACAUACAGUUUAAGCUCGUGUUUCAAGGAGUAUUUCAACUUAAAGAUUUAACUCAAACUUGAGGAGUUUUAUGACAUAUAGUUUAAGCUCAUAUUUCGAGGAGCAUUUCAACUUGAAGAUUUAAGUGACAUACAGUUUAAGCUCGUGUUUCAAGGAGCAUUUCAGCUUGAAGAUUUAACUCAAAUUUGAAGAGCUUCGUGAUAUACAAUUUAGGCUCGUGUGUCUAGCAACAUUAUAACCUGCAGUUUAGGCUCAUGCGGUGAGGAGCAUUGUAACUUGCAGUUUAAGCUCAUGUGUUAAGGAGCGUUGAAAUUUGCAGUUUAAGCUCAUGCGUUAAGGAGCGUCUAGAUAUACGUUGACGUUUCAAAGUCAUCUUCGAAUGCAGACUUGCCCCCACUUUGGAGUUCUUAUAUAUCUUCAUGAGGUCCAUGGAAAGAAGAUUAUUGAUUUUCUCUCAAAGUCAUGCUUAAUUCUAUAUCACGUGCACGAGUUACCAACUCUUCGAACGUAUUGGGCUUUAAUCCUUGCAAAAUGUAGCGAAAACCCCAAUUCAUGCCUUGGAUGCACAUUUCAAUGCUAGAAGUUUCACUAAGGCGAUCUUUGCAAUUGAGGUUCAGACUUCUCCAGCGAUUGAUAAAAGUCAACAACUAGCUCAUCUUCACCUUGAUGAGCCUUUGUAAGUUCAAUCAUACUAAUGACACGUCUCGUGCUAUAGAAUCGAUUAAGAAACUCUUGCUCAAACCGGUCCCAACAAUCUAUAUAAUUAGGUUCGAGUCGGUGUACCAAUUAAAAGGUAUUUUCUUUGAGAGAUCGAACGAACUCUUUAACGAGAUAAUCACCAUAUGUCCCAGCAUCAUUGCAAGUCUCGAUAUAGUGCGCUAUAUGUUAUUUAGUAUUUCCUUUGCCAUCAAAUUAGUGAAGCUUAGGAGAUUGAUAACCCUCAAGCAUUUUCAAGUUAUCAAUCCUUUGUGUAUAUGGCUUUGCAUAUAUGGGAGAAAAUUUGGAUGAAGACUAAGAUUUGUGUUCGACAACCUCUAUGAUAAAGCCUUUCAAUUGAUCAAUUGGAAUCAAAUCUUCAGCUGAGAUAUGAAUUUCUUUGAUCUUUGUUUGAUUUACGCAAGACUCUCCUUCGUCUUGAAUUUUAAGAAGCUUCCGAGGUGCUCGACUUGAUCUUCUUUCAAUCAUGUUAUCCAUCUUAUUUGUUAACUUCAAAAGUUUAGCAUCUUGUUCGUAUGCACACUUUGUCAAGCCUUCAAUCACUUUUGUCAAGCUUGCUAGUUAUUCUUCUAUAGUGGAAGUCAUUUUGAUAUUCUUUGAUACUUGGAAAGUUGAGAUGAGAGGUAGAGAUUGUCCUACUGGGCAUGCCAAAAUUUGUAGACAAUAAAAUUUGCGUCGAGAAAACAAUAAUCAAGACCGGAAAAUUAUAGCAAUAAUUGUUGUAUUAUUUCAAGUGCAAGUGUUACAAUCUCUAUAAUUCCUCUGAUUUCUCCUUUUCAAAUAUAAUUCAAGGGCUCUUGAGCAUGAUCUCUCUCUUGGGAUUUAUCUCGAUCUUGAUCUCUCUCUUGAUCUUGAUCUUGAGCUUGGACUUGGACUUGGACUUGAUCUUGAACUUUAUCUUGAUCUUGAACUUGAAAUUUAUCUUGAUUUUGACUUCUAGUUGAAUCCAAGGGCUUCGAGCUUGAUUUUGAAUCUGACAGUCUUGAUCUUGAUCGUUCUUGAAACUUGAACGUUCUUGAAACUUGAAUGCUUGAAUUUGCAGAGAAAUCUGCGGCUUUUGAUCCACGAGCUUUCUCUAGCUUCUUGUUAAAAUUCUUGGUUCCUUUUAUGAAUUAUAAGGACCCCUAUUUAUAGUUUUAAAAUAAAAGAGUUGUGAUUGAAAGAGGAUAUAUUCCCUUUGGCCAAUCAAAUUUAAGUGACAUGACAUACAUGAUUUAAUUAAAUCUAUAUUUAUUAGAUUUAAAUAAUUAACUAAAUUAUAUUAAUCCAUAGUAUUUAUUUGGACUAAUAUAUUCAUAAAUUAAAUAUAAUUCGAAUCAAUUUAUAAAUUUAUAUUUAAUAAAUUUUAAAUGACUACAAAUUCCCCAUUCUUCAAGUCUUGCCAAGAUAUUAUAUCUUUCAAAGACUAGGUUUGAAGAAUUUGAAGAUUUGAACUUCCAGACUUGAAGAAUUUGAAGACUUCAACUUGCAGACUUGACAAAUUUUGAUUACUUUAACUUGUAGAAUUGGAAGAUUUUAAUACUUCAACUUGUAUACCUGGAAAAUUUGAAGACUUCAACUUGCAUGCUUGGAGAUUUUUGGAAACUUUAUCUUGAAACAACUUUUAUUCAUAAGGAUUUUCCCCCAUUGAGUCACCACCAUUUGGUGCAAGUCUAAAGUUUUAUGAAAGAUUACUAAUAGCUUUAACUUUCAUGUGACAGAUCAAGGGGGAACAUGUGGUUUUUUGACACUCAUGCAACUGAACUUAGAAGAUGAUUCUAAGGGACUACGUACCUCAGUGAAGAGGAUCAAGUCACAACGUAGUUCUGGGAGAGAUUUUUUUAGGUGUGUCGUACACAGUUUAUACUCUUGCGGGCCAAGAGUGACAUGCAGUUUAGGCUCAUACCUUAAAGAAAAUUUCCACUUGAAUAUUUAACUCUAAUUUGAAGUGCUUUAUGACAUACAGUUUAAGCUCGUGUUUCAAGGAGUAUUUCAACUUAAAGAUUUAACUCAAAUUUGAGGAGUUUUAUGACAUAUAGUUUAAACUCUUGUUUCAAGGAGCAUUUCAACUUGAGGAUUUAACUCAAACUUGAAGAUUUAAGUGACAUACAGUUUAAGCUCGUGUUUCAAGGAACAUUUCAUCUUGAAGAUUUAACUCAAAUUUGAAGAGCUUCGUGAUAUACAGCUUAGGCUUGUGUAUCUAGCAACAUUAUAACUUGUAGUUUAGGGUCAUGCGAUAAUGAGCAUUGUAACUUGCAGUUUAAGCUCAUGUGUUAAGGAACGUUGAAACUUGCAGUUUAAGCUCAUGCGUUAAGGAGCGUCUAGAUAUACAUUGACUUUUCAAAGUCAUUUUCGGAUGCAGACUUCCCCCCACUUUGGAGUUCUUCUAUCUUCAUCUUCAUGAGGUCCAUAGACAGGAGAUCAUUGAUCUUCCCUCAAAGUCAUGCUUAAUUCUAUAUCAUGUGCACGAGUUGCCAACCCUUCGAAUGUAUUGGGCUUUAAUCCUUGCAAAAUGUAGCGAAGACCCCAAUUUAUGCCUUGGAUGCACAUUUCAAUGCUAAAAGUUUCACUAAGGCGAUCUUUGCAAUUGAGGUUCAGACUUCUCCAGCGAUUGAUAAAGUCAACAACUAGCUCAUCUUCACCUUGACGAGCCUUUGUAAGUUCAAUGAUACUAACGACACGUCUUGUGCUAUAGAAUCGAUUAAGAAACUCUUGCUCUAACCGGUCCCAAUAAUCUAUAGAAUUAGGUUCAAGAUCUGUGUACCAAUCAAAGGCAUUUUCUCUGAGAGAUUGAACGAACUCUUUAACGAGAUAAUCACCAUAUGUUCCAGCAUCAUUGGAAGUCUCGAUAAAAUGCGCUAUAUAUUAUUUGGGAUUUUCUUUGCCAUCAAAUUGGUGAAGCUUAGGAGGUUGAUAACCCUCGGACAUUUUAAUGUUAUCAAUCCUGUGUGUAUAUGGCUUUGCAUAUAUGGGAGAAAAUUUGGAUGAAGUCUCAGAUUUGUCUUCAAUAGCCUUUAUGAUAAAGUCUUUCAAUUGAUCAAUUGGAAUCAAACCUUCUACGGAGAUAUGAAUUUCUUUUAUCUUUGUUUGCUUUACACAAGACUCUCCUUUGUCUGCAAUUUUAAGAAGCUUCAAAGGUGCUUGAUUCGAUCUUCUUUCAAUCAUGUUAUCCAUCUUAUUUGUUAACUUCAAAAGUUUAGCAUCUUGUUUGUGUGCACACUUUGUCAAGCCUUCAAUCACUUUUGUCAAGCUUUCUAGUUGUUCUUCUAUAGUGGAAGUCAUUUUGAUAUUCUUUUAUACUUGAAAAGUUGAGAUGAGGGGUAGAGAUUGUCCCACUGGGAGUGCUAGAAUUUGUAGACAAUAAAAUUCGCGUUAGGAAAACAAUAAUCAAGAUUAAAAAAUUAUAGCAAUAAUUAUUUUAUUAUUUCAAGUGCGAGUGUUACAAUCUCUAUAAUUACGAUGAAUUCACCUUUUCAAAUAUAAUUCAAGGGCUCUUGAGCUUGAUCUUGAACUUGAGAUUUAUCUCAAUCUUGAUCUUGAACUUGAACUUGGACUUGGACAUGAUCUUGAACUUUAUCUUGAUCUUGAACUUGAACUUUAUCUUGAUCUUAACUUCUAGUUGAAUCCAAGGGCUUCGAGCUUGAUCUUGAAUCCGGCGGUCUUGAUCUUGAUUUUGUGUGCACACUUUGUCAAGCCUUCAAUCACUUUUGUCAAGCUUUCUAGUUGUUCUUCUAUAGUGGAAGUCAUUUUGAUAUUCUUUUAUACUUGAAAAGUUGAGAUGAGGGGUAGAGAUUGUCCCACUGGGAGUGCUAGAAUUUGUAGACAAUAAAAUUCGCGUUAGGAAAACAAUAAUCAAGAUUAAAAAAUUAUAGCAAUAAUUAUUUUAUUAUUUCAAGUGCGAGUGUUACAAUCUCUAUAAUUACGAUGAAUUCACCUUUUCAAAUAUAAUUCAAGGGCUCUUGAGCUUGAUCUUGAACUUGAGAUUUAUCUCAAUCUUGAUCUUGAACUUGAACUUGGACUUGGACAUGAUCUUGAACUUUAUCUUGAUCUUGAACUUGAACUUUAUCUUGAUCUUCACUUCUAGUUGAAUCCAAAGGCUUCUAGCUUGAUCUUGAAUCCGGCGAUCUUGAUCUUGAUCGUUCUUAGAGCUUGAAUGCUUAAAUUUUGAACUGUUAAACUUGUAGAGAAAUCUGCCGCUUUUGAUCUGCGAGUUUUCUCUAUCUUCUUGUUAAAAUUCUUGGUUCCUUUUAUGAAUUAUGAGGACCCCUAUUUAUAGUUUUAAAAUAGAGAAGUUGUGAUUAGAAGAGGAUUUUCUUCGACCAAUCAGAUUUAAGUGACAUGACAUAUGAGCUUUAUUGAGCGGGCUUUAAUUAAAUCUAUAUGUAUUAGAUUUAAAUAAUUAACUCAAUUAUAUUAAUCCAUAAUAUUUAUUUGGACUAAUAUAUUCAUAAAUUUGAUAUAAUUCGAAUCAUUUUAUAAAUCUAUAUUUAAUAAAUUUUAAAUGACUACAAAUGCCCCCUUUUUCAAGUCUUGUCGAGAUUUUUUAUCUUUCAAAGACUAGGCAUGAAGAAUUUGAAGAUUUGAACUUGCAGACUUGAAGAAUUUGAAGACUUCAACUUGCAGACUUGACAAAUUUUGAAUACUUUAAGUUGUAGAAUUGGAAGAUUUUAAUACUUCAACUUAUAUACUUGGAGAAUUUGAAGACUUCAACUUGCAUACUUGGAGAUUUUUGAAAACUUCAUCUUGAAACAACUUUUAUUCAUAGGGGUUUUCCCCCAUUGAGUCAUCACUAUUUGGUGCAAGUCUGAAGUUUUAUGAAAGAUUACUCAUAGCUUUAACUUUUAUAUGACAGAUCAAGGGGGAACAUGUGGUUUUUUGACACUCAUGCAACUGAACUUAGAAUAUGAUUCUAAGGGACUACGUACCUCAGUGAAGAGUAUCAAGUCAUAACGUAGUUUUCGGAGAGUUUUUUUUUGGGUGUGUCGUACACAGUUUAUACUCUUUCGGGCAAAGAGUGGCAUGCAAUUUAGGCUCAUACCUUAAGGAACAUUUCCACUUGAAUAAUUAACUCUAAUUUAAGAGCUUUAUCAUAUACAGUUUAAGCUCGUGUUUCAAGGAGUAUUUCAACUUAAAGAUUUAACUCAAAUUUGAGGAGCUUUAUGACAUAUAGUUUAAGCUCCUGUUUCAAGAAGCAUUUCAACUUGAAGAUUUAACUCAAACUUGAAGAUUUAAGUGACAUACAGUUUAAGCUCGUGUUUCAAGGAGCAUUUCAACUAGAAGAUUUAACUCAAAUUUAAAGAGCUUCGUGAUAUACAGUUUAGGCUUGUGUGUCUAGCAACAUUAUAACUUGUAGUUUAGGCUCAUGCGAUGAGGAGCAUUGUAACUUGCAGUUUAAGCUCAUGUGUUAAGGAACGUUGAAACUUGCAGUUUAAGUUUAUGCGUUAAGGAGUGCAUAGAUAUACAUUGACUUUUCAAAGUCAUUUUCGGAUGCAGACUUUCCCCCACUUUGGAGUUCUUCUAUAUCUUCAUCUUCAUGAGGUCCAUAGACAGGAGAUCGUUGAUCUUCCCUCAAAGUCAUGCUUAAUUCUAUAUCAUGUGCAUGAUUUGCCAACCCUUCGAAUGUAUUGGGCUUUAAUCCUUGCAAAAUGUAGAGAAGACCCCAAUUCAUGCCUUGGAUGCAUAUUUCAAUGCUAGAAGUUUCACUAAGGCGAUCUUUGCAAUUGAGGUUCAGACUUCUCCAGCGAUUGAUAAAGUCAACAACUAGCUCAUCUUCACCUUGACGAGCCUUUGUAAGUUCAAUCAUACUAACGACACGACUUGUGCUAUAGAAUCGAUUAAGAAACUCUUGCUCUAACCGGUCCCAACAAUCUAUAGAAUUAGGUUCAAGAUUUGUGUACCAAUCAAAGCAUUUUCUCUGAGAGAUCGAACGAACUCUUUAACGAGAUAAUCACCAUAUGUUCCAGCAUCAUUAUAAGUCUCGAUAAAUUGCGCUAUAUAUUGUUUGGGAUUUCCUUUGCCAUCAAAUUGGUGAAGCUUAGGAGGUUGAUAACCUUCAGGCAUUUUAAAGUUAUCAAUCCUGUGUGUAUAUGGCCUUGCAUAUAUGGUAGAAAAUUUUGAUGAAGACUCAGAUUUGUCUUCGAUAGCCUCUAUGAUAAAGUCUUUCAAUUGAUCAAUUGGAAUCAAACCUUCAACUGAGAUAUGAAUUUCUUUGAUCUUUGUUUUCUUUACGCAAGACUCUCCUUCGUCUUGAAUUUUAAGAAUCUUCAAAGGUGUUUGACUCAAUCUUCUUUCAAUCAUGUUAUCCAUUUUAUUUGUUAACUUCAAAAGUUUAGCAUCUUGUUCGUGUGCACACUUUGUCAAGCCUUCAGUCACUUUUGUCAAGCUUGCUAGUUGUUCUUCUAUAGUGGAAGUCAUUUUGAUAUUCUUUGAUACUUGGAAAGUUGAGAUGAGAGGUAGAGAUUGUCCUACUGGGAGUGCCAGAAUUGGUUGACAAUAAAAUUCGCGUAGGGAAAACAAUAAUCAAGACUGGAAAAUUAUAGCAAUAAUUGUUGUAUUAUUUCAAGUGCGAGUGUUACAAUCUCUAUAAUUCCUCUGAAUUUGCCUUUUCAAAUAUAAUUCAAGGGCUCUUGAGCUUGAUCUUGAACUUGGGAUUUAUCUCGAUCUUGAUCUCUAUCUAGAUUUUGAUCUUGAACUUGAACUUGGACUUGGACUUGAUCUUGGACUUUAUCUUGAUCUUGACUUCUAGUUGAAUCCAAGGGCUUCGAGCUUGAUCUUGAAUCCAGCGGUCUUGAUCUUGAUCGUUCUUGAAACUUGAAUGCUUGAAUUCUUGAACUCUUGAACUUGUAGAGAAAUCUGCGGCUUUUGAUCUGCGAGCUUUCUCUAGCUUCUUGUUAAAAUUCUUGGUUCCUUUUAUGAAUUAUGAGGACCCCUGUUUAUAGUUUUAAAAUAGAGGAGUUGUGAUUGGAAGAGGAUUCCUUUCGGCCAAUCAGAUUUAAGUGACAUGACAUAUGGGUUUUAUGAAGCGGACUUUAAUUAAAUCUAUAUUUAUUAAAUUUAAAUAAUUAACUCAAUUAUAUUAAUCUAUAAUAUUUAUUUGGACUGAUAUAUUCAUAAAUUUAAUAUAAUUCGAAUCAUUUUAUAAAUUUAUAUUUAAUAAAUUUUAAAUGACCACACGUGUAUCUCCCCAUGUAUAACAAAAACAUAGAAAAUGCUGCCAACUAUUUAGAUUUUCUAGCUAAAAGAUUCUCAAUAUAAAUAGGAAGACAUUUUAAAUACCACGCAAGAAUCAAAAGAGUUUGAAAAAGUAUUUUCUGAUUUAUAAUUUGAUAAACUAGAGAAUAUUUGCCUAUAAUUGCAAGCAUGACUUGAGCACCAUGUCUUGCACAAUAUCAGAAUGUCAAUGGUGUGAUUUUGCAUAGUUAAAAAUAUAACUAUUCUGCCAGAUGUUUUGGAAUCAUAUCUGAUAUGGUCAACAACAACCAUAAAUUUCAUUGGUUUUUCCUCAAUAAAUUCAGUUGAGAAGCAAAAAUAGUAGUAAUCAAGAAGAAGCAUUCUUUCUUUCGAGAAUUCAAAGCUAUGGCAGAGAAGGAAGGAGCAAUUGUCAAGAAGGGGCAUGAGGAAGGUUUCAAAAUGAUGAUUUCCCUACUCGAAGAAUUCAAACUCCCACUGGGGAUCUUCCCUGUUGUUGAUGUGAUCGAAGUGGGGUUUGUGAAGAACACAGGCUACAUGUGGAUCCAGCAAGCAAAAAAAGUUGACCACAAGUUCAAGAUGCUCCCCAAACCGGCAAGUUAUGACACUGAAAUAAGUGGAUAUGUUGACAAGAAGAGAAUCAAGAAGCUCAAGGGACUGAAAGUUAACGGGCCGAUAGUGUCGCAUCCAGUUAAUGAGAUCAUUGUGGAUGAUCCUCCCACUGGUAAUAUUCAAUUUAAGGGGUUUGGUGGCAUCAGCAAAACUCUCCCACUUGAAUAUUUUGUUGCUGGCCAGUAAGGGAAAAAAUCAAUGCAUAUUUUCUGAUUCAUGACACUAAUUGUGUCUUGUAUCCAAUUGGUAUUAAUUAAGCAAAAUGAUCAAUUCAUUAUUAUUUGCAGUUUUUGUUUGGCAUAAAAAAUAAAAUGUUUUGUUUUCUGAUAGCAAUGUCCUGUUCUUUGAGAUACGCAUGUAUGUAUUCUUGAAAUUAAUGCAUGUUUCUUCUUCCUGAACUCUCUUCACAACGUGUUUAACGAUAUAAUUUUUAGCAAUUCCAUUUAAACUAUAAUGGCUUGUGUUUAACGAUAUAAUUGUUAGCAACUCCAUUAAAACUAUAAUGGCUUGUGAUCGAUUUUACAUCAAAUACUCCAUCAAUAAAAAACAGUCUGCUUUCUUUCAAAUAUCAGUUAUUAGCAUUUGAAGUCAUUGUAGAAUUCAGAACCCAUAAGUUCAAAUCCUGGCACCACCUAUGUGCACAGAAUCUCGAAACAUAUAAACGGACACACUCAUGAUCGAUAGCAAAGAUUAUUAUACCAUUUAAAUGUGAACACAUAUUAUCUUGUCUUUUCACAUUUUUAUUUGAGCAUAGGUUGUUAAUUUUUGGAGACAAACCUUGUGCUAUGGGGGCCACAAAAGUUUCAAGAAAAUAAUAAGUAGGAGAAUUGGGUCACGAUAGAAAGCACACUGAAGUUGCGGUGCGGUGCGGCUUUGAUAGCUAGCUAGAGUGGGUCAUUUGUACUUUAAUUUCUUUCCUAUUUUGUGUUUUGUCCGUCAGGACCAAAAACUUUUUUGUGGGACAUAAGUAUAUUUCAUAUUAUAAUAUUUCACAAAAUAUGUCUCGUGUCCUUAAAGAAUUUAUGUUCGGCUAGCUAGACAUAAGUUCAAUUGCUUAAGACAAAAAAACAAUAAAAAAUCAACUCAUAUAAAAGAUAAAAAAAAUAAAGAUCAAAUCGUGACAAUGUACAGUUAAAUGCGCUAGAGUCCACACAUCUAUUCAAUUACUCUUUUUUUA